GGGGAUUGGGUUUUCGUGAUUACAGAAUCUUUAAUCAAGCUUUACUAGCCCGGCAGGCGUGGCGGCUUCUCGUCAAUCCGGACAGCCUAUGUGCGAGAGUCUUAAAAGCUAAGUAUUAUCCUAACGGUCGUUUGGAAGACACCGUGUUUGCAGGGAACGCCUCAUCGUCAUGGCAAGCGAUCACGUACGGGCUUGAGCUGUUGAAGAAGGGUCUUGUGUGGCGGGUCGGCAAUGGCCAGAAUGUCAGAAUCUUGCGAGAUCCCUGGCUUCCUCGACCACCAUCAUACAGACCCGUCACCGUGCAAGGAAGAUGCAGAUUGCGACGUGUAGCUGACCUGCUCAGCGCGCAUGGAACCUGGGAUGUGGAUCUUCUCCGCCAAUACUUCGUGUCACCGGACGUUGAGGAAAUUCUUCGCAUCAGGCCAGCACCAAGCCUUGAUGAUGUGCUACCAUGGGCACCGGAUCCCAAAGGCGUCUUCUCUGUACGGAGCGCAUAUAAGAUCGCCCUCGACGACAAAUCCCGCACAUCUACGUGCGCCAUGAGCAGGGCACCGGACGGCAAUCGCGCCGUCUGGACGGCAUUGUGGGGGUGCCCUGCUCCCCCAAAGGUACGGGUUUUCGGCUGGCGUUUGGCGACUGAUUCCUUGGCCACUAUGCAAUAUAAAUUUAAGAGGCACAUUGAAAGAUCUGACAUAUGUACCAUUUGUGGUGUUGAACCGGAGGACAACUUCCAUGUUGUCUGCAGAUGCCCGAUGGCGCCAGCAUUGUGGGAGGCCAUGCGCGAGUCAUGGCCACUGCCAGACCUGAACAGCCUCAACAACUCGGGCCCUGACUGGCUGCUGCAGCUACUUGACAAGAGCACGGAGAUAGAACGCCUCGUCAUCCUGAUGACCUUUUGGCGGGCAUGGCACUGUUGAAAUGAGGUCUCUCACCAUAAGCCGGCACCACCUGUGGAGAGCUCUCGGAGAUUCCUUGAUAUAUAGCUACAUCUCAUCACUCUUGUGCAUCAAACAAAAUCCAUAUGGGGACAUAGCUAAAGGCAAGAUGGUGGUCGACGUUGGUGCAGGUGUGCGCCGUGUGAGAGAUACCCAGCAGCAGCCGCCGCCGGUGCCGUCGCCAUCUGCAGAUAAAUGGCAAGCCCCCCCGGCGGGCUGGGCAAAGUUAAACGUUGACGGUUCUUUCAUACCGGGAGAAGACACAAGUGCGGCGGGCAUGGUACUGCGAGACGAAGCGGGUGCUAUUAUUUUUUCAGCUUGCCGUUACCUUCGCUGCUGCUGUUCGGCACUGGAAGCUGAACUGGCGGCUUGCAUGGAAGGAGUAUCUUUGGCAUUGGAGUGGACGGACAAACCCCUCAUCAUCGAAUCUGACAGUCUACAGGCCGUAGAAUUUCUCCAGGAGCAAGGCAUUAAUCGGUCUCAGGUGGCGUCCCUAGUUGGGGAGACGAAGAGGCGUUUGCAUGGACAGCGGGAACACCGCUUUGCUCAUGUUCACCGCCCCAGCAAUGAAGCUGCUAAUUUUAUGGCUCAGUUUGGCCGUACCUCUUUACGUACUGCUGUUUGGCUGAGAGCAGGCCCAGAUAGUUUUAGUAACCUUUGUCACAACGAGUGUAAUGCCACAAUUUAAUUAAUACAUACUCGUUUGACCCGCAAAAAAAAAGAAUAAUAUAAAGUUGAAAAAACAAGGAACCACGAAUUCUUUCUGCCAUGCCCGGUCGCUCACGUGUUGCUCCCGUGGGCUGCUCAGGAGCAAACCCUAGCCGCAGCGAGCAUGAUUCUCAUAAAUAGCUAUACUCAGUCCACAUGCAUAUAUAUAUAUAUAUAUAUACCUUUGCACCCGUGGGUUGUUUAACACACUUUGCCUUCAGAAUUAUACCCAAGCAACAUCCAUGUACUUUGCCUUGAAUUUCCUAUCAUUCCUGGAUGCGUACAUGAAAUGAUGAAUAUUAAUAGUAGCACUUACUACUCACUUCAACGUUAGUACAAAGUUAAGGCAUUUAUUUUGAAACAGAGGGAUUACAUAUCAAUGAGGUAGCUCUGGUAUGUCCUUAUAGUCCAUUGGAAUCCUUUCACUUAAUUUGUAAUACUCCUACCUACAUCUGCUUGCAAAUGUAUUUUUUUCUUUCUCUUUUCGAAACAAAAAUUUACAUUAUUGUUAACUAUGUGCCGGUCCUAGUAUUUCUAAUGUAAGGUAGUAUUGUUUUUAUUUUACAAAAAAAAUCAUAAUAUGUUUCUGUGUUACCAAAUAAUAUAAAGUUAAACAAUCUCAUUUAUAAAAAUAUCUUGAGAUCACAUACCGAGAUAUGGUUUUAGUGUAUGAAAAUACAAUGUGUAUCAACAUUUAAAUGCUAUUGAUCGACAAAAAACGAUUUCGGUGGAGAUACAGAGGCCAUGUAGAUAACUGGUAAGCACGUCAUCACCACCAAAAUUUAUCUGUAUUUAUUGACAUAAUAUGUAGCAAUCUUUCACUCAGCUAAAGAAUAAAGUUACAUGGUAUAAUUCAAGUAUUCCAGGUCAUAAUUGUAGAACCACAGCUAAACCGGCAUUCCCAUUAAUUUGGUAGCCUUCAGUAACAUCCUACUAGAUUCUUUUUCUAUACUAGCAAAAUAUUAAGUUCAUGCAUACGAGAUCCUUGUCCAGGGACUGAAAGAAAGGCAGUCACAAUAAGAUGAUGAAUGCGGUUACUGAUGUGAGGUGGAUGUAGCUCCAAGCACUUUUCUUUCUUUUGCUGAAUUGAAUCGAAUUGAAUCACUCUCGCCUCCAAGGUCGCACACUCGCACGCGUGUGCGGCUCCAGAGGAACCCCAACCCUACAACCGGAAGGCCCUAGAUCUCCCCCCCUGCCGCUCCCAGCGGUGGCACCCGGCCGUUGAAGGCGGCGGACACCGACGGGCCAUCUUCCUGUCGAGGCGGGCCAUCACUAGGGCUUCGGUGGUGGUGGUGUGGCCGGUGACGCGAGAGCUUUGUGAUGUUGCCCACACGGCGAGGAGCGCGGAGGAGCAGCAGAUCCGACGAGAUAGGCAGCAGGGAGGCAGGGAGUGUGCCAAGGUGAGCGGGUGGCAUCAGCGCAUGUCCACGGCCACGGAGGCGGCGGCGCAGAGGAGGCCUAGCCAGGAAGGAGAUCCUGGCAGGCAGCGGGCGGCCGGUCACCUCCGCGUUCAUGGGUGGGCGGUGGUGCUCUUCCAGUGGAGUUGGCACUAGAGUAGUGUCCUGGGCUGGUGCGUAGGUCGGAAAUUUUUUGUUUUCUGUUGCGUUCCCCUACAGUGGCAUCAUGAGCCGUGCUAUGGGUAGAUGCAGGUUGCGAUCUAGAAUACAUAGAGAUGUAUGGGUAUUGCAUAAUAUAAUUAGGUGGUAGAUGAGAUCUAUUACUGAAAAUUAUUUAUGCGGGUGACAGAUGAAAUCUGUUACCCGACGUUCUUGUUGCUUCCCUAAAAUUUGCGUUUGCUCAAUCUCGAGACAGCAUGGUGGAAUUUGACAAAGUUCUGGCAAUCCGUGAUCCUGAUUGAUCAUGGAAGUGCUAUCAGUUCUUUGGGUUCUGCCGUAGUCAAAAGAAAGAUGAAAUUCGCAGAUGAAAGGGCAUUGCAGAUAUGAUCUGCACGGGGGUCAUGCGUAUGACGAAGUUUAGUAUGGGGCUCGAGAUUUAAUUAUCUCGUGUUUCAUACACCCCGAGAUGUUAAUCUAGCAACUUGAAUAAUCAUACUUGAUGAUAAAACGUUGGUAGCUGCGGUUUAAGUCAAAACCUUAGAAGCCGCGAAAAAUAAAUUUUUGCAUAAACCGAUUAGAGGCGUCUAACUUGGUUUUGCAGGAUAUGCAUGUGAUGUGGUAUAGCAAUGCUCAUAUUCAAUUUGAUUAUGUAUGAGAUGACUAUAUGAUGUAAUUAACAUGACCUGCGUUUCAUGAUUCGGCAUGAUGGCUGGAGCCAUAUGAUUGUCACUUUAAUGACCUGCGUGUCAACCUUAAGUAAUGCACUUAUUUUAUUAGCUAUAGAGAUAGCAAUAUUAUGUGGUGCAUCAACAGGGUGGUGGCAAUCUUCGUGAAGGUGAACACCGACGCAAAUGCCGAAGACGAAGAAAUGAAAUACUUCUCCGACAGGAAGGGCUAUACCAUAUCAUGCUAUUAUGAAUUGCCUGAGAUGUUUAUCCCUUAUGAUGCACCCUUCUUGAUUGCGCGGUAGUCGCUUUUUAUUAGGGUGAUCUCUCACUUAAAAUAUCAAAGUAGUUAGUGUUCACCCAAGUGUAGCACCGUCUGAAAUUCGUAUCUUUUCGGGGUGCGCCAUGUACACAUGAGCACGAACGAAUCGACAGGAAUGAGGCGGGUGAGGUCAGACCUCGCAGCAAGAUCACUUGGCUGUCUUUGACGUUCAGGCAGGAGAGUCCUGAGCUUGGAACACGCCCAUCGAAAGAUGAACAAGAAUCACAUAGAGAUGUGAUCGGCAAGUUGGCCUACCGAUUGAAAUUCGUGUCAUUAGUGAUGAACCCGUCAAUGGCAUCGAAUAGAAAUAUGGAUCUUGAAUCACUCUAAAUCAAUUAUGAGAGAUAUUGAUUUGAGUGGGAGCGCACUGUUGAAUUAACAUGUUUAAUUCUCAGUGCAAUUAAUUAUGAACACUGUCUAAGUGUUUCUUGCAAAAUAGUUGUAGAAUAAUGGCUCGCGUUUCCACCUUCCCUGUUAAAAUUGAUUAGCUGUUAAAUAUCUGGUUAAAACUUUACGUUUGGUAACUUAAUGUGAGGAUUGUCCUCAAAAGUGCCGAGAAGGAUUUUGUCUUAUCGCAUGCUUUCCGUAUCCUCCCGCUAAUGCUAUGGAUCAUGUGACUCUCGUCCUUCGAUCCAAAAGCUAGAAUUCUGUUACGGUCAAGUGGAAUAUGUUUGCUUCCAUGAAACCCAAACUUCGAAAGUUGGGAUAGUUAUUUGAUAUUCAUGGAACUGAAAAUUAUUUUCAGAUACAAACAAAGCAAUGUUUGUUUGCAAGUAUUAAUAAAAGUGUUUACUAUGCAUUUGACUGUUGGGAAAGGGAUCCAGAAGAACGACUGUCAUAUAAUGAAAGGUGAAUAAAACAACAACUUAAAGAUAAAGGAAGUGUCCAAAGGGUGUUAGUAUGACUUACACGCCUAGGAAGUCCGGGGCUAACGCCACUCUUAUGUUGGGUGCUUCUUUUGCGAGUAGGAGAAAUACUAAAAGUUAAACAGUUAGAAGUAUGAAGGCAGAAAGAGAGAUGACUGGAAUAUCCAUCUCAUGUAUGAAUGCCAUACAAGUUUUUGAUGUAUCGUAGGAUGGUCAAAGAUAUAGUUCUUGGGAAUUUUGGUUAAACAUGUUAAUCACUAAUUCUUGGGUAUUGUGAGUUAAUCACAAAGAUACCCGCUCGAUUGCAUUCUGUUGCGAAUCAAUGUAAAAGCUACUAUGACCUAAAAAGACUAGCCAGAAAUGAGGUUAAGGUAUACACAGGGAACAUAGUAAAUGUUACUAUAUUUUCCAUCGGUGUAUUGCCGUCUGUAUUUAUUUUCAUAAUUCAUUUAGAGUUUUACAAACUCUAGCCCAUUGCAUAAGGUAUCUUGCAAGAAGGUUGUUCAUAAGAGAACUUUUUAUGUUCGAUGUUAUGAAUAACACAAGGGCCAUACUUUCAUUAUGAAUGAUAUGUAUGUUAUGAAUAUUGAUAAUAAUACAAAACCUCUGGGUUUACUUUCAUAAUUCAUUUUAGAGUUUUUUACACUCUAGCCCAUUGCAUAAUUUUUAUUGCAAAAGGGUUGUUCAUAAAAGAACAAUUGUUGUUCAGUAUUAUGAAUAACAUGAAGGGCCAUGCUUCCAUCCAAGAUGGGAUGUAUGUUGGGAAUAUUGAUGGUAAAAUGAUACAUCCAUAACACUGACGCUAAAUGUCGCAAGACUAUGAGAAUACCACACAUGUGUGGAACUGCAUUUGGUCACAUUGGAGAAACCCGCAUGGAAAAAUUCCAUUAUGAUGGAUUUUGAAGUCGUUUGAUUUUGAAUCAUCUGACACUUGAAACUUUCCUCUGAAAAGUGAAGUGACUGAAAUACCGUUCACAGGCCAUAAGGAACGAGCAACAAACUUAUUGGUGAUCAUACAUUUUGAUGUAUGUAGUUCAAUAAAUGUUGUUGCAAGUAGUGGAUUUAUAUAUCUUCAGAAAUGACUCAAGUAGAUAUAUGGAUAUUUGCUUGAUGAGUCGUAAGUCUGGAUCUUUUGAAAUCAUUCAAAAGGUUUUCAAAAAUGAAGUAGAAGUUAUUGUAACAAGGAAAUUAUGUUUCUAUAAUUUGAUUGCAGAAAGGAAUAUCUGAGUUACAAGUUUAGCGAAUGUGUGAUGAGUUGUGAAAAGAGUUUCAUAACAUACACCUUCUGGAACACCACUAUGAGUGGAAUGUCUGUGAAGAUGUAAUCAAACCAUUUAUGACAUGGUAAGGUCAAAGAUGACAUAAAUAAAUUUGCCAUUAUCCCUUUUAAAGUGAUGCUUUAGAGGCUGCGGCUUUUACACUGAAAAGAGCUACAUCGGGUCUGUUGAAAUGAAUCCAUGGUAUGGUACGCCCAACCAUGUUAUCUCUUUUCUUAACAUUUGGAAUAUGGGUCUUGUGUAAAAGGUUACAAACCUAUUCCAAAUUAGACAAGUGCUACUUUGUAGGUUAUACAAAAAUGUUGGGUAUUCCUCCCUCACUAUACCGAGGCAAAUAGUUUUGCCGCGAAACGGUGUGCUUUUAAAGAGAAUGGUUCUUUCAAAAAGGUAAGUGGGAGAAUAGUGCAACUCGACGAGAUAAACAGUAUCUUCGUCAUCAGAUCAAAGGAAAGAGACCUUGGAAGUAAUUCCAGAGUUUCCUACUGCGAUUGAUACGGAAGUCUCUACAAUAAAAUGUAUGAACUUCGGUCGAACUUGCAACUGAACCACGUAGGCAAGGCUCGUGCAAACCUCUCAGGUGCGCGAAUGAGAUAUUGUUGUUAGACAACAUUAUACCUGACUCUGGAAUUGGCUAAAUGCCAAUACAACCCGAGUUAGUUUCCAUAUAAGUGAUUCAAGAUUAAAACCUUGACACACCUUUCCGAAGACUUAGAUUCUAACGAAUAUUUAUGGAACCUUAAACUAAUACGGAUAAAAAUGUUUUAUCCAUAAAGCUCGACUUGUUGAAAUAACAAGUUCAAGAGUUGACUACGAUAAGGUUGUUUUCAUCGUAGCGAUGCUUAAAGUCGGUUCGGGUUGAACUAGCAAUUAAUACAUAUUUCAAUCAUGAGAUAUGAAACAUGGAUGACAAUAGGAUUUCCAUCUGAUGGAAAUGAAACUAAGGACUUGCAUCUGUUACAGUCCAAGGCAUUUUGUCUAUCCAGAGGAUGCUAGUAAGGGUGCAAACUUCAGAAUUCCAGCGAUGGACAGAAGAGAGCAAAAUGGAGUUGGAAUCUUCGUGUUUUGGUGAAAUGGUCAAAGGGUUCUGACUUCAUCAAUGGGUAACGAAGAUGCUUGUAAUUCAAGAAAGUAAGUGGGAGCGUAAUAAUAUUUCUAAAAACUUUGUGUGCUUAACACAUUGUUAAUUGGAAAUAAAUUUCUUGACACGAAUUAGGACUUCAUUGGAAAUUGUUUUUGAUGAAGUGCUUAGGCUAAAUAGCCUCAAUUUUAGGCAUGAUGAUCUAUGGAGAUAGAUUUACCUAAUAUGGCUAAGCAAUGAAUACAUAUUGACAAGGUGCUAAAACCUAUUUAGCAUUUAAAACGCUAAGUAGUGAUUCUUGACUAAGUCACAUGAAAAGAGCUUUUACAAGACUCGUUGUCCCAAAACACUGAGGAGUAAAAUACUUGAUGAGAUUCCACACACCUUCGUGUUUUGGACUAAUCAUGUAUUCCAUGGUAUGUAAAACAACCAAUGUAAAACAACCAGAUAUGUCCGAUACUCCCAAGGUGUUGCAAGUAUGGAUACUAAAGUGAUCAAAGUACUGAUCGUGGGAAAACAGUGAAAGAUGUCAUUGAGUACUAGAGUAAGUACUGAUGAUAUGUUUUCUUUCAAGCGGAGAUCAUGAAGAGUUCGUUAUAAAAUGCUACGUCGAUACAGUCUUCAUCUUUUCUCCAUGCGAUUUUCAAUUUAAGUUAAGGGUUUUGUGUAAUACACAAUAUGGUGGCAGGGUAGUUAGAAAUUGUUCCCAACAGGAUACUGUGGCGAAUUCUAUAACAAAUGACUAAGUAUGUUGACGCUUUAGAAGGGACAAAAGAAGAUGUUGAAUCAUAUAGUUCAUUCAUGAACUUAGUAUGGUUCCAAGAUGGCUUCUGUCAAUGGGACACUACUGCAGGUAGUUGCUCCAUAACUCAGUCUGAGGAAUCCAGGUUCGACCUAUGAUUCACAUACAUACAACGCCAAGUCCACACAAAAUAUGAAUUUUGUGAAAGCAUGAAAAUGCGAGGAUAUGCAGAGAUACAUACGGAGCUGAAAUUGUCAAAUCCGAUGGACAUCAGGCUAUACCACAUGCGAAGCAUUUUUUACACCAGUAUGCCAUAGGUGUAAAGUGCAUUAGCAUUAACUAGAUUAUUGACUCGAGUGCAAGUGGGAGUCUGUAGGAGAUAUGCCAUAGAGGCAAUAAUAAAUGAUAUUAUUUAUCUCCGAGUUCAUAAUUAUGUUUAUGUUCCAUGCUAUAACUGCAAUGAUUCUCGAGUCUGCAAUAUCCACGAGGCUCAGAGGAAGACUCAUAUGCACGUGUGGAAUAAUAAACGGUAAGAAGUAUUCCUAGUCUGGCCUCUAAGACUAGCUCUAGUGUUGCAUGAUGGUUCUGUUUUCCUGAUCAUGGGCAUGUUAUGCCAGCAAUUUUGAGGGCACAAUGUUAAGAGAACAUUUGUGUUGAAUCGACCCGGAUUGAUGUUAUGCUAAGAGAUUCAUUCGUCACAAGUUAAUGGUGCAUAACACAGAGAUGGUUAACGUUUGCAUAAUUCCUUAGACCAUGAGAGUAUCGAGUUUCUUCAUGCUUGCUUCAUGAACUUUGGGGUUUGUUAAACGUCAUCCGUAAAUGGGUGGCUAUUACGGCAGCUUACGGGUUCAUGGAAAAGUGUGUCAACUAACUUGAUAACUCAAGAUUGGGAUUUGCUCCUCCGACGAUGGAGAGAUAUUCUCGGGCCCUCUCGGUAUUACGGUAUCCAUCAUCGUCUGGCCAGACACAGUGUGAUUUGAUCACUGGGAUGCCGGAACACAGAAACGAGAAAAGAGAACAAAACCGGUAACGAGGUAACUUGCAUGGUGGACAAAUUUUUCGUCCACGGGGAUGCAACAAAUCUCACAACGGGUGUUUGUGACAUAUCGCGAAGCAACAGGAAUAGCUCACUGCAACUGGAGGUUCACUCGAAUAUUCAUUCGUGUGGGUAUAGGGGACAAUAUGGGUGUCCACGGCUCCGAUGUUGAUCAUUGAUCGGAAGGGGUUCCGGGUCAUGUCUAUACUUCACCGAACCUAUAGGGUCACACGCUUAAGGGUCAUCUAUCUGCUGAAUACUAGACAAGGAGUCUGAGAGAAAAUCAUCGAAAGAGUUUCGGACAGCGGAAAAGUUCCGCAGAGAGAGGUCACUGGAUGAGUUUCGGUGAAACCGAAAUAGUUGUUUCGGGGUAUGCCAUUAAGUCAAAAUGGUUUCAAAACAUGCCUGAUAAUUCUUGGAGGGUGCCAGAAUCAUUCUCGAAACUUUUUGGAAUUUUCGGAAAUAAAAACCGGAAAUGUUCCGGAGCUGCAGGAACCGGUUCAGAUGCUUUUCGCGGAUGAAAAUCACUAAACUGGAAUUGUUCCAGAACACGUUGAAAAUUAUUAUGAUGGGUACUGGAAAUGUUCUAAGCCCACAUAGAUAUUUUCAGUUCGAACGGACGCUGAAAAAUGUCAUCGUGAAUAGUGAAAGUGCUUUUUGGGAUAUUUUAUGGAAAGCCACCUUUUGGGGCUUUGCCCAAAAGAUCUAGGGAUGACAUGGAUGGAUUGGGAGACCCUCAUGGGGGCCCACCAAGGGGUGUGGCCGGCCACACUUGGGGCUCCACCUUGGAGCCCCUCUUGUUCCAUGGUUUCACUCUUAUGUCCUUGAGGAAGGACUUCAUUCAUGUUCAUUUUGGGUUUUUGUGUUAAACUACCCUACCCCUUGGGAUUUCCUAUAAAUAGAGGUGGAGGGGCAGCCCUCCACACUCACUCUUUCUCACAUACAAGUGCCAUGCAUGAUCUGGCUUCUCUCUCCCUCCCAGCGAAAUAGUUUCAUAGAGCCGUAAGGCUGUCUGGGUUCCGGCAGGAACUAGUUCUGGACGGCGAAGCCCUGCCGGAUAGAUGACACCGUAUGUGUGCAACUCUGUAGAGAGAUCGUAGUUUCGGUCUUAGUUCGUGAGUGCCUCCCAAAGGGCUGUCUAUGUGACCGUCCGAGUUUCGAAGGUCCUCCCGAAGGGCUGUCCCAGUGACCAUUCGAGUUUCGAAGGUCCUCCCGAAGGGCUGUCCGCGACACCGUCCGGGGGGCUGUUCGACCACCUCCCGGAGGGCUGUCUGAGGAGCAGAUGAGGGUAUUCAUCCUCGCAGGUGGGAGGUUGUAAAUCCUAGCUGCGGGGAUCUGCACCGCCGAUCGUCAUCGACUCUACUUCCCGUUGCGCUACGAGUCGGUAACGAAAAAGAUCAAACCAUGUAUGCAGUCUCCAUAGUGGUCCUGGGCUGGUGCGUAGGUCGGAAAUUUUUUGUUUUCUAUCGCGUUCCCCUACAGUGACCGCCAUCUGAACCGGUUGAAUAUAGCCCGUGCUACCAUCUCCCACUGGUUGCACCCAGUAACCAAAGCCUCCCUAGAGUCCAUAGGAGUGAGUAAGGACCACGUGCGGAUUAAUGUGGUAGUUCUGAAGAUGACCUGCAAGAAAGUUAAAAUGUGUUGUCUGUUAAAAAUCAUAUCAUUCUUACAAUUCCAUAUAGCCCAUAAAAACGCACAUAUUCCAAUCCGAAUACGAGACGCGGUAAUAUGCCCAACCCCAGCUAACCACAUUCCAAACAACGAUUCAAUGUCAACUGGAGGAUUAAAGUUAAAGGCUAUAUGGAUCAUUCUCCAAAGCAAUUUGGCGAGUGGGCACUCAAGGAAUAGAUGUUGUAUUGUUUCAUCAUGAUCACAAAAAUAACAACGUCAACUACCUACCCAUCGCCUCUUUAUUAAGUUAUCCUUGAUGAGUAUUACUUUUUUGUGGACGAACCACAUAAAUAUUUUAAUACGCAAGGGAAUCUUAACCUUCCAAAUAUGUAACGAUCUCGAGAUUGGGCCAAAAUUAAUUAGAUCCAUGUAAAACGAUUUCAGCGCAAGUGCCCUAUUUCUAGCUAACUUCCAGUGCGUCGAAUCAGGUUGGUCGGAUAAUUGAACAUCUAUCAUCCUUCGGACCAAGUGCAUCCAGGCAGUCCAUCGCACACCAACUAACGCAUGUCUGAACUGAAUAUUCAAGGGAGUCAUUUGAAAUAUUGUGCCUAUGUAAUCCUCCUUACGUUGCAUGAUGUUAUAAAGGGUGGGAUAUUGUAUGGCUAGGGGCGUCUCUCCUAACCACGUAUCCUCCUAAAAUCUUGUUGACAUUCCAUUGCCAACCAAGAAUUUAACCCUACGAAAGAACAAGUCCUACAUUCUCAUGAGUCCUUUCCAGAAUGGCGAGUCAGACUGGCACUUGUUUGAUUUGGAUGAUACAGUUUUUUAUUCACGUCGUUAAAUGGAAAUGGACAAUGACCAUUUUGGAUGAUACAGGUGAGGAAGAGACUACAGAAAGACUAGUUAUGUGGUCACCUGGGACUCUAGAGUGUUUUUAGGUGCCAUGCAGUCUUGUUUUGCUGUUAUAGACUUGAUAAAUGCUAUGAGCUAUUUUUGGCAGCACCAGUGUCGUUUCAUUGUUGGUUUAGCAGGUGCUUUGGCUAAAAGAAGAAAAGAAAAAUGUUACGCACGCCUAGGUUAUGUCAUGAUUGUUAUUGGCUUUGACAAACUUUGACCUCUGUCUUCUUCAGAUAUCUGUAUCAGUGCUGAUGGUAUCCCAGGAGUGCUGGUUACUGGGGAAGUGUAUGCGGCAUGUCGAAUCAUUCUUCCGCAGGAGGCCCCUAAAGCUUCAACUUGUUGAGAAACUGUCUGCACUCCGCAGUUUGGAACCUUGCGGCAUGAUGCUGUGAAUUUCUUGGAUAGUGGGCUUCCCUGAUGGCUGCUCUGCUAGUGCUAGCUCAGGGAAUGGCCUCUACAACUGAACUGUACUGCAGUCGGUCUUGACCGAGAAUUGUUGGGGCCUAUGGUGUAGGGCGAUUGCUUGGCAUCGAGUUGAGAUGCAACGCUGAAUCAAACCCUGGCCGACACAGCGGAUCUGAUGUGGAUUUGGUUUGCUGCUCGUCCUUUGGGUCCGUGCCCAUGAUGGGCAGGGAUCACCAGCAGUUUACAAUCAUCCAUGGCGCUUUACCCCCGUGGUGUUCUACUUAUCUAAACAAAUUUUUGUUUUUGAAAUGUCAACCGGGGUAUAUAUAUCAAAAAGAGGAAGUCCUCGGUUUGUGAUCAUACAGCAGAGGUGAAUAGCGGGGCAGAAGGCCACGUAGCUUUUUUUUGGAAAUGGAGGCAUACCCCCGGCCUCUGCAUCAUAAUGAUGCAUGCAGCCAUCUUAUUAAAGAGUCUCGAAGUAGCACAAAUUCAUAAAAGUAAUACAGCUCGCAAGCGGAGCGAAACUAAGAAAAGAAAAGUACAUGCUCAAAAUCACAACCGGCCAGGCAAAGUAAAGGAGAAGCUCCCUAGACUCCUAUCCUGUUAUGCGACCGCCAUCCGAACCGGUUGAAUAUAGCCCGUGCUAACAUCUCCCACUGGUUGCAACCAGUAACCAAAGGCUCCCUGGAGUCCAAGGAGUGAGUAAGGGCCACGUACGGAUCAAUUCAGUAGCUCUGAAGAUGACCUGCAAGAAAGUUAAAGUGUGUUGUCUGUUAAAAAUCAUAUCAUUCCUACAAUUCCAUAUAGCCCAUAAAAGCGCACAUAUUCCAAUCCGAAUACGAGACGCAGUAAUAUGCCCAACCCCAGCUAACCACGUUCAAAACAAUGAUUCAAUGUCAACUGAAGGAUUAAUGUUAAAGGCUUUAUGGAUCGUUCUUCAAAGCAAUGUGGCGAGUGGGCACUCAAGGAAUAGAUGUUGUAUUGUUUCAUCAUGAUCACAAAACAACAACGUGAACUAGCUACCUAUCGCCUCUUUAUUAAGUUAUCCUUGGUGAGGAUUACUUGCUUGUGGAAAAACCACUUAAAUAUUUUAAUACGCAAGGGAAUCUUAACCUUUCAAAUAUGUAACGAUCUCGAGAUUGGGCCAGAAUUAAUCGGAUCCAUGUAAAGGACUGGAUAACAUGUUAUAGCCUUAUAUAGGGCUGAGCCACCAAAUCCACAUUUCUCUCCGUAUAAUUUCUAUAUGUUAAUGUGCAGCAGCUCCCGAUGAACCUAUUUUAGGAUAAGAAUUUUUUUAGGGCAUUUUUUGUUGGUUUUUUAUGAAAUCAAAUACAAUCCAGUGCAUUCCAUAGUAGGUUUUCUGCCCCUAGCUAGUGGUAAAGAACAAGUUCAAUUCAGUCUUAUGAUGUUAUUAUUGAUGCCUUGUUCAAAUCAAAUGGACAAGCAUGUACUAAUCAGUGAUUUAUAUCUUAAUACCGAAAAUUUGUGCUGAUUUAUGAAUUUGUUGAUCCCGAGGUUCUCCUAAUCCGUGUACUAAUUUAUUUGGGCAAUUUGGGUUAUUUUGGUCUCAUUAUAAGGACUGUGCUAAUCCAUGUUACAAAUAUGUUGUUGUGCCGACUAAUUUGUGCUAAUUCUGAAAAUAUGUGCGUCUAAUCGCCAAUAAUAUCAUGUGUAAAACCAAAAUUUCAUCGUUCUUGAGGACAUGGAAGCGCUUAUUCUGUGCUUUUCCUGCUGAUAUGCACUUCAGUAUAUGAAAAUGUACACUUGAUGUGGUGUUUAAAUUUUCAACUCACACUUAUAGAGACGUGCAGUGCACCAGCCAACUGGCGCAAGCUGUACAUUGACGGCAUACAGUUUCGGUCUUCCAGUCAACAUAAGUUAUCAUUCGUACUAGUCCGUUUUUCUGUGACACAUUAGCACGACUUAAGAGGCACACCCAUCUACGUGCCAGUUGCCUGAAUCAGGAGGGCGAGGAAGCAGAAUUCCGCUGUGUAGCGCAACAGUGAUAUAUGUCUGCACGCGCUAUGCAGGUGGAGGAGAAGCAGUUCGCGUGGAAGUUCCGUGUCUCUGAUGUCUGAGAAGAAAGCUCUUACAGAAUUUUCGUCCGCUUGGUGGACUGGAGCGACAUCCAAGUUAAUUAUAGUGUCCAAUCAUCCCUAUAUUUCAGCGUUUCUUCUGCUUUGUACCAUCAUAUUUCAUAUGUGCAUCGGAGGAAAUGUGCAUUCUACAUGAUGGAGUGGACCGUGUCACACAGUCCCCAUUUACAUGGCCAUAGGCAGUGGCUCAAGAAUUUUUCUUCAAGUGUCACUGUUGUUCUAGCUCUCUAUCUUCGAUUUUGUUGAUUCCUUAGUAUGGUUGCAAAGCUAGGCGUCAUCUAAUUUAUUUAGCUAAGCUGAUAAAGAGAAUUCCACAUGGCCCUUUAUUCCAGUUUUCACUGUCUCACAAUAACAACACAUAUUAAGCUCACCAAACUAGAUCCAUACUCAUAACUUACCUUUCAUCAUUGAAUAACUGGAGAUUGCCAAGUUGUCUUUUAUCAUGUCAGUAUAUUAAGUAUUAUGUAUGUUCAUAUGAACAAGAAAUAAUCAUCUGCCAGCAGAUUAUGAGCACUUCUGAGUUCCAUCAUGUACUCAAUCUUAAUUACAGAUGUCAUCAGAAAAGGACAAGAAAGUGACCACUUGCUUCCGGGUCUUCUCUCUUCAGCAAUAAGCAUGUGAUGCAUUCAAGAUUCAACGAAUUCACGAAAACCAAUUGUGUUCCUCCCUACACGGUAGGUGCUGCUCAAGAUGAAUUAUAUUUUGUUGAUACACAGUAGGUGUGUUGUUUCACGUCUAGUCAGUGGAGGUAAUUGUUUAAUUUGCAAUUCUGAACUUUCUGUAGUAUUCAGAAAGAAAAUCUGUAUCAUUUACUAAGGUCACAACCAAUUGAACAUAAUUUUGAAAACCUGCACUGGAUGUUCUGACAUAAAUACAUAGUAUAUUGCUCUACUUGCAAUAUUCUUGAUUACAUGCUCGUGGAAGUUUUUUAGUUGAAGUGCACAUUGUCUAAUAUGUCUGCCGAUGCCUCAGUUUAGCCAUUUAACUAAUUUAAAACCAGCAUAGUUAAUGCCAACGCCUUGUUUAUUUUGGAACUAUCUAUGGCUAUCUGAUCUCAUGAGGGAUAUUGCUUUCCAAUUAAAAUGAUACUUUAUGUAACCUCAUGAGGGCUAGCUAUUGCUAUUACUAACUGCACUAGUCAACUAGGAUAUCCACUCUUCCAUCUUAAUUCUUCUGUUCUUGAACUAGCUAGACCCGUAAGGAGGAGGAUGUGAAGUUGAUACACACCACUACUGAAAUUUUCCUCUUUGCCGAGUGUUAGGCUCUUUGCCAAGUGCACUAAAUCGGACACUCGACAAUACUGUCUUUGCCGCGUACUUAACUCGGCAAAAACAUGAAACUCGGCAAAAACGUGAAACUCGGCAAACAGGCACUUUGCCGAGUGUCGGGGACAAAACGCUCGGUAAAAUAGGAAAACUGGCAAACAAGGCUUUGCCGAGUGCUACACUCGGAAGGGGUCUUUACCGAGUGUCACACUCGGCAAAAGGGGGGGUCUUCACUAAACUGCAUGGUUUUGACUGUAGAGGUUGCAUACGACCUUGGAUGAAGAUGGUCCAAAAAUCAAAGUUGUUCAUUUUGACGAGACGGACAAUUUGUAUGUUGAAAAACUUUUCAUUUUAGGCCAUAUUAAUUGCACUUUUUGGCAUGCCAAAUAUUAAUAUAGUCUCAAAUGACCAAGGUGAUGGCCAUAUUCAUUGCAUAGUUUUAUUAUAAUGUUCCCAAAUCAAACACAUAGGUGCAUCUUGACAUUACCAACAAUGUUGCCAAAUAGAGUUUCCUACUUUUUGUACAAAAAUCAUUUUUCAUUUUCCAAGUGUAAAAAAUGGGUGUUUUUUGUGAAGCAAGUACAAAAAUCAUGGUGCAAAAUGGCACCACUCCAAUUAUCACAGUAAGUAGACCAUAUUUUAUGCACAAUUCCCAAGUUUCAUCGAUAUUCUAGUUUUCUAGCUACUUUCGCACAUUUAAUUAACUUUAUGCCAAUUUCCCGAUAGUAAUUAAAAUUUGAACUGGAAGUGUGUGAUAGCUUGGUCAUCAAAAUUAGCAAAAAGAGAUUCAACCCCUUGUAAUAAAUAGCCAUGUCGACCAUUUUGACCCCGUAUUAAAAAAGAUAGAAAAAGAAUACAAGUUCAAAAAAUGCAAUCCUUUUGCAUGAAGUCCUGUUAUGUGUACUAGUUUUGGAAGGAAAUACCAAACUUUCAAUAUAACAAAUUUGAAAAAGAUCCUUCACAAAACGGGCUAUCGUGUAUGAACAUUAAUGACUUUCAAUUCAAAGGACCAAGGUGAUGGUCAUAUUCAUUGCAUAGUUUAUUAUAAUAUUCCCAAAUUAGACACAUAGACGCAUAUUGACAUUACAAACAAUGUUGCCAAAUAGAGUUUCCUUUUUUACAAAAAAAAAACAUUUUUCAUUUUCAAAGUGUCAAAAAUGGAUUUUUUUUGUGAAGAAAUUACGAAAACCAGGGUGCAAAAUGGCACCACUCCAAGUGUCACCAUAAUUAAACCAUAUUUUAUGCACAAUCCCUGUGUUUCAUGGAUUUUCUAUAUUUCUGGUUACUUUCGCACAUUUAAAUGACUUUAUGUCAAUUCCCGGAAGUGAUUCAAAUUUGAACUGCAAGUGUGUGAUAACACUUUCAUAAAAUUAGCAAAAAAUAUUUUUAUGCACAUAUAUAGUCAUUAUAUGGGAGAACCACUUAGUGUUUUGAGAGAUUCAUCGCCUUGUGAUAAAUCACCAUGCCGUUCAUUUUGACCCCGUUUUGAAAAAAAUGAAAGAAAAUGAAUACAAGUUCAAAAAAUGCAGUGGUUUCGCAUGGAGUCCUUUUAUGUGUACUAGUUACGAGGAAAAAUACCAAAGUUUUCAUAUGACUAAUUUGAAAAAAAAUCCUUCACAAAAUAUGCUAUCGCCUAUGAACAUUCAUGGAUUUCAAGUCAAAUGACCAUGUGAUGCCCAUAUUCAUUGCAUGGUUUAAUAUAAUGUGCCCAAACUUGGAUCAUGGAUGCAUCUUGUCAUUACAAACAAGGCUGCCAAAUACAGUUUCCAACUUUUUUGUAAAAAUAAGUCAUUUCCCAUUUUCUAAGUGUAAAAAAGAGUAUUUUUAUGAAGCAAGCACAAAAAACAGGGUGUAAAAUGGCAACAGUCCAAUUUUCACAAAAAAUAUACCAUAUUUGGUGGACAAUUCUCAAGUUUUAUGAAUUUUCUAGAUUUCUUGCUAUUUCCACACAUUUAAAACACUUCUGAUUUCCCAAAAGUAUUUCAAAUUUGAAAUGCAAGUCUGCAAUUACUCAGUCCAAAUAUUUUUAGAUACACAAGUAUUCACUAUAUGGAAGAACCGCUUAGAUUUUUCAUAUUUUCUUGUGUGUUCACAAUAUUUCUAUUCAUUUUUUUGUGUUUACCGAGUGUUACGCUAAUUAAAAAUCAUGUUUUUUCUGAUUGGUUGAGAGAAAGCACACUCUUCUCAACCAAUCUGAGAACAACAUACGGAAUGAUGACGUGGCGUCAUGGCAGCCGCACAUCUCUUACUCUCUCUUCUAUCUCUCUCCCACUCUCUUCUAAAUCACGAGCGUGUGUCUCAUUUCCUCAUCUCUCUCCUUGUCUUCUCUCGCGGCCACCACCGGCGGGCAGUGGCCGACCACCAGCACCGCCGCGACAUUGCGAGCGCGCCAUGGAGAACAAGGCCCGCAGACAUUCGUCUCCUCCGGCCGCUGACCUCGCCCUUCCGAUGGCACGCCAGAUCAGCCAGUACGUCGAGGUCGUGCGGACGACCGACCGGACUCCCAACUACACGCGCUUGGCUCCGCCGUCUUUGCUCCUCUUCCUGACCUAGCUGUUGCUCCUCUUCCGCAGGUCCUUCUCUUCAUCGAUCACGCAAGCAGCACCACCACCAGCGGUGUAGCUAGCUAGCUAGUAUACUGGUGUGCUAGCUAGUACUCCGAUGUUCUGGCUAGCCGGUGCAAUAGUAGCUCAGGAGGACGGCGAGGAUCAAGAGCAGCAACAGCGCACACGACAAGCAGCAACGGGCACGCGAUGGCAAGCAGCGGUAGCAGUCGGCGCCUGCAUUUGACCACCAAUGGAUAUAGGACGGGGUCAGGCGGCGCUAUUUUUUUUUCUAUUUACUCCCUUUACCGAGCGGUACUCUCGGUAAACUACCUUGCCACAUAGCUACAACACCAUUUGCGCCGUCCCGUCUGAUCGCUUUUUUUGCCGAGUGACCGUAUUUGAAACUCGGUAAAGACUUUGUCCAGUGUUUGACAAGUGGAUCUCGGCAAAUUUUUGUUUGCCGAAAAGGGGUACGCCGAGUGUCCUUUGCUGAGUACAACACUUGGCAAAGGCUUUGCCGAGUGUUUGUGGCACCCACACUCUCAGGUUUUAUGGUCUCUACCUUAGGUUGCUUAUUUUGCAUUCUGUGAAGAACAAAUGUGGUAUAGUAUGAGAGCAUGUAAAGGNNNNNNNNNNNNNNNNNNNNNNNNNNNNNNNNNNNNNNNNNNNNNNNNNNNNNNNNNNNNNNNNNNNNNNNNNNNNNNNNNNNNNNNNNNNNNNNNNNNNNNNNNNNNNNNNNNNNNNNNNNNNNNNNNNNNNNNNNNNNNNNNNNNNNNNNNNNNNNNNNNNNNNNNNNNNNNNNNNNNNNNNNNNNNNNNNNNNNNNNNNNNNNNNNNNNNNNNNNNNNNNNNAACACCCUGCUGCCAGCAACUCCUUUUCCGUACCUAGCACAAUGAUUGUUGGAUUGAUGUAGCGAUUUUUUGCAACCACUCAAAGGACAUAAAAAUAAGGAAAAAAUUGGGAACUUAUUUAAAAUUAACUAGCUAGUGGUGUCUGUGAAGUUCAAGAAAAAGCUGGACUUUUUCUUGACAACAAGUUAAUGUCAAAGAAUUAAUAAAUGUAUUUGCAAAAAAAGAAAGCAAACCGAAUUAACGAUAAAACUGGUUUAGGUUUUCACUAUAGACAAUGGUAGUAGUCUGAACCAGAUACAAACCAAUAAAAAACAAGAUCUCAAAUCUCCAACCAUUAAAGAGUUGUAUGUUAGUCCUUUCUUAUGUUCAACCCAAAUUUUACAAUAACACUAUUAUACUUAAAUCUUGAUUAUUGCAAUACAUAAAUAAUUAAUUAAUGCACCAGCUUGCGGUUGUAACCAGACAAGAUGAACCUAUGAACUUGCAAGAAUGGCAAUCGGAUCGACAUCCACACAACACCGGUAUGAACAUUGUCUAGAUCAAACUUUAUUUGUAUUUUAUUUCAUAAUUUAAACUCGUUUGUGCGGAUCACACAUGACAUUGUGUGACACUUUAUUUGCCACCGCUACAUCGACAUGCCCAUCGACUAAGCAACGGCGAUCCAACUAUAUAUUACUAGAGAUAUUUUCUUAUCAGUAGGCACCAACUUGGGUGCCAACGCCGAAUGGCACACUAGUGGUGGUGCCGUACACCGGCACGUUGACACUGCACAUCAUUGGCAGGGUACGGAGUGCAAUGGAAGUCAUCAACUCAAGUUGAGCUAUUUGGUGUGGCUGCAACAAGGUACCCUGUGGUACCUGUUGUUGUUGAGGCCAUUGACCCAGUUGUUGUUGUUGAGGUCGUUGGAAAGAACACUGUCCGAGCUGCUUCUGUUGUUGUUGGGGUUGGGAGACACCUUGGACCGACUGUUGGGGUUGUUGCUGCUGAGGUUGGUUGAAACCCUGACCAUGUUGUUGUUCUUGUAGGACGAUCGAGUAGAUGAUGGCACGGAUUGCAUCAUAGCGUGAUUGUUCGGGGAUUCGCGGCAGCUGCUGGCAACAUUGUUGCUGCAUCACAUGGCAACUGCUCUGCCACAACAUUUGCGACCUAGCAAGACUUUGUGGCAUUGCCACAGGGCUGCAUUGCUGCUGGAGGAAUACCUUGCAUGGGUUUAGCUGCUGCAAGAUAGAUGGCUGAACAUAUGGUAUUUGUUGUUGCGGAAGAACCGGUUGUUGGUGUUGCGAAAAAGGUGGUUGUUGCGGUAGAAUUGGUUGUUGUUGUUGCUGUUGCGAAAAUGGUGGUUGUUGCGGUAGAACUGGUUGUUGCUGCUGCUGAGAAAAUGGUGGUCGUUGUUGUGAAAAUGGGGGUUGUUGCAGUAGAAGUGGUUGUUGUUGCUGCGGGAAUGGUUGUUGUUGCUGCGAAAAUUGUGGUUGUUGUUGCUGCGAAAAUGGUGGUUGUUGCGGUAGAAUUGGUAGUUCUUGCUGCGAGAAUGGUGGUUGUUGCUGUGAAAAUGGUGGUUGUUGUUGCUGCGAUAAUGGUGGUUGUUGUUGCUGUGAACAUGGUGGCUGUUGUGGAAAUGGUUGUGGUUGUUGUUGGAUCGGUUGCUGUUGGUGGUACCAUAAUAUUUGUUGUAGUGGUAAUGGUUGUUGUUGCGAUGGUUUCUCCAAGCCAGGGAUGUGGCUAGUCUCCAUUUGUGCAAUGGCACUUGUCGCUGCAACGGCAAGGAGGGCAAAGAUGAGGAAGGUCUUCAUGGUGAAUUGGUGUUAACUAGUGUUGCUUGGUUUGAUGCUUGUGCUUGUGAUGAUCAUUAUACUUCAUGUCUAUUUAUAGUAGCCCAUGCACCACCUCUUUCCUUCUUUGCAUCAGCUUUAAUAAUUGUGUUUGGAUGUUUCUGAAAUGGAUUUUUGGUACAUUAUGGUAGGUUGCACUAGCUAUACGCGUACUUUUGGAUUGAUCAUCAAAGUUGCUUUUUAGUUGUGCAUAUGAUCAUACACAAAGUACAUGAUGUUUGAGGUAGAUGACUUGCCUUAUUCACUUUACAUGUCAUGCAUUUAUCAGGAUAGUAUCACUUUUACACCCGAUUUUGGAAAAGUUACAUGAUGUUUGCUAUAGAUGACUUGCCUUAUUCACUUUACAUGUCACACACUUAUCAGGAUAUUAUCACUUUUACACCCGAUUUUGGAACCUUGCAUAGGGUGUCAGCCUUAAACAUGAAAAGGCAAAACUUGUGUAGGACUAAGUUGCAAUCAUGUGUGGGUUGUUAAGAUAUGCUCUAUUAUUAAAGCCUUACAUGUGGAGGGUUCUUCUAGACUCAAUUGUUUCUUAUAGAACUAACAUUGUAUUGUCCUUUAAGAUGGUAAGAUAAAUUGACACCUAUAGAGCAUGACACGACUCAUCGAAUUCCCUUUACAUGUAAAGGAUUGUAAUUGCUUACAAGUCACUAACAUAUAUCUGGUCCUAACUCUAGACACAUCAUCAUCAGUUUGAUCUUUGUGUUAAGGAUUUUUAUUUGAUCAUAUCAUUCUUUUGGCGGACUAAGUUUGCAAUAUUGUGCAAAUAUUUCAACGGGCCCACCUGGUCUCUUUUACUAAAUCUUUGGGGCAGGAGGUUGAUAUUUAUUUGAAUUGUGUAGAAUAUUUACAUUGGUAACCUAUUGGAAUUAUUGUAUGUUCGUUAUACUAUGACGACAACAUAUAUAGUUUGGUUUACUGUGGUUCAUGUUCAGGUGUACAAUAAUGAAUUUACUAUAUCAAGGUACUUUAUCAACCCAAAAUAAAAAAUUCCAAACAUUUCAACAUUUUUCAUGAACAAACCUUUAGAACCUAUUCGCGACUAUCCUCCUAGAUCAUGGACAACCAGCAUAUUUCAUUUGUAGGAUUUUGACAAGGUCUUGAUUGUUUCCCACAUAAAAUGUUCUAGAUUGUUUCAUGGCAACUUGUUUGUGCCCGACUAUUUUCAAACUUCUUAUCUAGGCCAUACUUAUGUUUUUCUGUCAUUAAUCUAUUAACUGCUGAAUGAGGUGGUCCCAAAUGAUAAAGAAAACUAUGUUAGGAGUAUGGGCAUCUCUUUCAAUAAAACCAGAGGAUUUUAUGAUUAUGAUUUGGUUCGAAAUAUGUUAAUGAUAUGUGCACUCGAUCUGGGCCCUUAUCCGAUGAAUUGAAAAGUGUUAAAUGGCCCAUGCAUAAAUCUAUAUUUGUUCACAAGUAUCAGAAAUCUGGAAUGGUGACACUACAUAUUCAAUUCAAAUUUGAAAAUACAUCUGAUCCCAGCUAUAAAGGUCGCCAUGUGUCUCAAAGGAGUCUCCAUGGCAACUCUGGCCGUCUGCAAUUACACUAGAUGGCAUGCUAGUCUGCCAUCCAUCGUGGGGAUCCGCCGACAGGACAGGUCAGAGUUCCCGCGGUUGCAACUAGCAGGUUAUUCAUCCAAUCUCUGUUCGUCAGUUAGUGCUCGAUCCUAGAGUAAAUGGUACUUGUAUGGAUAUAUAGUUGCAGAGAGGAAUUUCUUUGCCUAGUGUUUGAUCGGAUUGCUAGCUGGAUUGGUGGAGAAAUCACUACUUCUUCGUGGUAGGGUAGCAGUGGACAAUUAGUACAGACAUACCUGGCAAAAAAUUCUGGUGUGUUGAGAAGUAUAUUAAGUGGAGAUAGUACUAGAUCUGAUGGCUGCCGGAGAUAGUAGUAGAUGUAAUACUACACACUGGCACAGUAUGAGGUCAUUAUAUUGUUCUGUACAAAGUCUGUCACUGAGAUGUACAUAUAUGAGUUACAGCCGUAUAUAUAUUUCUUGCAAAAUCCAUGCUUCCUUGCAGGUGCCCCCGAGACAGAGCCUAUUCCCUAUUUGGUACGGUGAGUAUUAAAUCGAAACUCAAAAUAUGCAUUUAUCGAUUUGUCAAUCUCACAUUAUAUGCAUCUGAUAGGAGAGGUUAUCGUCAGAGGUUGUGGAACAAUCUGAAGGACACUUGUGGUUAAGCAGCAACAGCAGCAGGUGAAGUGUUUCAUGUCAGUCAGUUGGUAGUCAGACUGGCACUUGUUUAAUUUGGAUGAUACAGUUUUUUAUUCACUUUGGUAAAUGCCAAUGGACAAUGACCAAUUUGGAUGAUACACGUGAGGAAUAGACUACAGAAAGACUAGUUAUGUGGUCACCUGGGACUCUAGAGUGUUUUUAGGUGCCAUGCAGUCUUGUUUUGCUGUUAUAGACUUGAUAAAUGCUAUGAGCUAUUUUUGACAGCACCAGUGUCGUUUCAUUGUUGGUUUAGCAGGUGCUUUGGCUAAAAGAAGAAAAGAAAAAUGUUACGCACGCCUAGGUUAUGUCAUGAUUGUUAUUGGCUUUGACAAACUUUGACCUCUGUCUUCUUCAGAUAUCUGUAUCAGUGCUGAUGGUAUCCCAGCAGUGCUGGUUACUGGGGAAGUGUAUGCGGCAUGUCGAAUCAUUCUUCCGCAGGAGGCCCCUAAAGCUUCAACUUGUUGAGAAACUGUCUGCACUCCGCAGUUUGGAACCUUGCGGCAUGAUGCUGUGAAUUUCUUGGAUAGUGGGCUUCCCUGAUGGCUGCUCUGCUAGUGCUAGCUCAGGGAAUGGCCUCUACAACUGAACUGUACUGCAGUCGGUCUUGACCGAGAAUUGUUGGGGCCUAUGGUGUAGGGCGACUGCUUGGCGUCGAGUUGAGCUGCAACGCUGAAUCAAACCCUGGCCGACACAGACAAUCAGAUCUGGAUUUGGUUUGCUGCUCGUCCUUUGGGUUCGUGCCCAUGAUGGGCAAGGUUCACCAGCAGUUUACUAUCAUCCAUGGCGCUUUAACCCUGUGGUGUUCUACUUAUCUGAACAACUUCUUGUUUUUGAAAUGUCAACCGGGGUGUGUGUGUGUGUGUGUGUGUGUGUGUGUCACAAAAAGAGGAAGUCCUCAGUUUGUGAUCAUACAGCAGAGGUGAAUAGAGGGGCAGAGGGCCACACAGUUUUUUUUUAGAAAUGGAGGCGUACCCCCGGCCUUUGCAUCAUAAUGAUGCAUGCAGCCAUCUUAUUAAAGAGUCUUGAAGUAGCACAAAGUCAAAAAAGUAUUACAGCUCGCAAGCGAAGCGAACCAAAAAAAAAAGUACAUGCCCAAAAUCACUACCGGUAAGGCAAAGUAAAAGAUAAGCUCCCUAUACUCAUAUCCUGUUCUGCGACCGCCAACCGAACCGGUUGAAUAUAGCCCGUGCUACCAUCUCCCACUGGUUGCACCCAGUAACCAAAGCCUCCCUGGAGUCCACAGGAGUGAGUAAGGACCACGUAUGGAUCAAUGCGGUAGCUCUAAAGAUGACCAGCAAGAAAGUUAAAAUGUGUUGUCUGUUAAAAAUCAUAUCAUUCCUACAAUUCCAUAUAGCCAUAAAAGCGCACAUACUCCAAUCCGAAUACGAGAUACAGUAAUAUGCUCAACCCCAGCUAACCACAUUCCAAACAACAAUUCAAUGUCAACUUGAGGAUUAAAGUUAAAGGCUAUAUGGAUCAUUCUCCAAAGCAAUUUGGCGAGUGGGCACUCAAGGAAUAGAUGUUGUAUUGUUUCAUCAUGAUCACAAAAACAACAACGUCAACAACCUACCCAUCGCGUCUUUAUUAAGAUAUCCUUGAUGAGGAUUACUUGCUUGUGGACGAACCACAUAAAUAUUUUAAUAUGCAAGGGAACCUUAACCUUCCAAAUAUGUAACGAUCUCGUGAUUGGGCCAGAAUUAAUCAGAUCCAUGUAAAACGAUUUCACCGUAAAUGCCCCAUUUCUAGCUAACUUCCAGUGCGUCCAAUCAGGUUGGUCGGAUAAUUGAACAUCUAUCUGAGUUGUCAUUUGAUUAACGGGAUCACAUCAUUAGGAGAAUGAUGUGAUUGACUUGACCCAUUCCGUUAGCUUAGCACUUGAUCGUUUAGUAUUCUGCUAUUGCUUUCUACAUGACUUAUACAUGUUCCUAUGACUAUGAGAUUGUGCAACUCCCAUUUACCGGAGGAACACUUUGUGUGCUACCAAACGUCACAACGUAACUGGGUGAUUAUAAAGGUGCUCUACAAGUGUCUCCGAAGGUACUUGUUGGGUUGGCGUAUUCCGACAUUAGGAUUUGUCACUCCGAUUGUCGGAGAGGUAUCUCUGGGCCCACUCGGUAAUGCACAUCACUAUAAGCCUUGCAAGCAUUGUAACUAAUGAGGUAGUUGCGGGAUGAUGUGUUACAGAACGAGUAAAGAGACUUGCCGGUAACGAGAUUGAAAUAGGUAUUGAGAUACCGACGAUCAAAUCUCGGGCAAGUAACAUACCGACGACAAAGGGAACAACGUAUGUUGUUAUGCGGUUUGACCGAUAAAGAUCUUCCUAGAAUAUGUAGGAGCCAAUGUGAGCAUCCAGGUUCCGCUAUUGGUUAUUGAUCGAAGACGUGUCUCGGUCAUGGCUACAUAGUUCUCGAACCCGUAGGGUCCGCACGCUUAAUGUUCGGUGCCGAUUUAUAUUAUGAGUUAUGUGUUUUGAUGUACCGAAGGUAGUUCGGAGUCCCGGGUGAGAUCGGGGACAUGACGAGGAGUCUCGAAAUGGUCAAGACGUAAAGAUCGAUAUAUUGGACGACUAUAUUCGGACAUCCGAAAGGUUCCGAGUGAUUCGGGUAUUUUUCGGGGUACCGGAGAGUUACGGGAAUUCGCCGGGGAGUAUAUGGGCCUUAUUGGGCUUUAGGGAAAAGAGAGAGGGUAGGCUGUGCGCCCCCCAAGGCCUAGUCCGAAUUGGACUAGGGGGAGGGGCUGCGCCCCCUCCUUCCUUCUCUUCUCUUUUCCCUUUCGUUGACUCCUACUCCUACUACUCGGAAGAGGGGCAAUCCUACUCCCGGUUGGAGUAGGACUCCUCCAGGGCGUGCCAUAGGAGGGCCGGCCCUUCCCCCUCCUCCACUCCUUUAUAUACGGGGGCAGGGGGCACCUCUAGACACACAAGUUGAUCUGUUGAUCUAUUCUAGCCGUCUGCGGUGCCCCCUCCACCAUAUUCCACCUUGGUCAUAUCGUAGCGGUGCUUAGGCGAAGCCCUGCGUCGGUAACAACAUCAUCACCGUCAUCACGCCGUCGUGCUGACGGAACUCUCCCGCAAAGCUCUGCUAGAUCAGAGUUCGUGGGACGUCGUCGAGCUGAACGUGUGCUGAACUCGGAGGUGCCGUGCGUUCGGUACUUGGAUCGGUCGGAUCGUGAAGACGUACGACUACAUCAACCGCGUUGUCAUAACGCUUCCGCUUUCGGUCUACGAGGGUACGUGGACACACUCUCCCCUCUUGUUGCUAUGCAUCACCAUGAUCCUGUGUGUGCGUAGCAAAUUUUUUGAAAUUACUACGUUCCCCAACAGUGGCAUCCGAGCCAGGUUUUAUGCGUAGAUGUUAUAUGCACGAGUAGAACACAAGUGAGUUGUGGGCGAUACAAGUCAUACUGCUUACCAGCAUGUCAUACUUUGGUUCAGCGGUAUUGUUGGAUGAAGCGGCCCGGACCAACAUUACGCGUACGCUUACGCGAGACUGGUUCUACCGACAUGCUUUGCACAGAGGUGGUUGGCGGGUGUCAGUUUCUCGAACUUUAGUUGAACCGAGUGUGGCUACGUCCGGUCCUUGAGAAGGUUAAAACAGCACCAACUUGACGAACUAUCGUUGUGGUUUUGAUGCGUAGGUAAGAACGGUUCUUGCUCAGCCCGUAGCAGCCAUGUAAAACAUGCAACAACAAAGUAGAGGACGUCUAACUUGUUUUUGCAGGGCAUGUUGUGAUGUGAUAUGGUCAAGGCAUGAUGCUAUAUUUUAUUGUAUCAGAUGAUCAUGUUUUGUAAUCGAGUUAUCGGCAACUGGCAGGAGCCAUAUGGUUGUCGCUUUAUUGUAUGCAAUGCAAUCGCCCUGUAAUUGCUUUACUUUAUCACUAAGCGGUAGCGAUAGUCGUAGAAGCAAUAGUUGGCGAGACGACAACGAUGCUACGAUGGAGAUCAAGGUGUCGCGCCGGUGACGAUGGUGAUCAUGAUGGUGCUUCGGAGAUGGAGAUCACAAGCACAAGAUGAUGAUGGCCAUAUCAUAUCACUUAUAUUGGUUGCAUGUGAUGUUUAUGCAUCUUAUUUUGCUUAGAUCGACGGUAGCAUUAUAAGAUGAUCUCUUACUGAAUUUCAAGGUAUAAGUGUUCUCCCUGAGUAUGCACCGUUGCAAAAGUUCUUCGUGAUGAGACACCACGUGAUGAUCGAGUGUGAUAGGCUCUACGUUCAAAUACAACGGGUGCAAAACAGUUGCACACGCGCAAUACUCAGGUUAAACUUGACGAGCGGAGCAUAUGCAGAUAUGGCCUCGGAACACUGAGAUCGAAAGAUAGAGCGUGAAUCAUAUAGUACAUAUGAUCAACAUAGUGAUGUUCACCAUUGAUACUACUCCAUCUCACGUGAUGAUCGGACAUGGUUUAGUUGAUAUGGAUCACGUGAUCACUUAGAGGAUUAGAGGGAUGUCUAUCUAAGUGGGAGUUCUUAAGUAAUAUGAUUAAUUGAACUUAAAUUUAUCAUGAACUUAGUACCUGAUAGUAUCUUGCUUGUCUAUGUUGUUGUAGAUAGAUGGCCCGUGCUAUUGUUCCGUUGAAUUUUAAUGCGUUCCUUGAGAAAGCAAAGUUGAAAGAUGUUAGUAGCAAUGAUGCGGAUUGGAUCCGUGAUCUGAGGAUUAUCCUCAUUGCUGCACAGAAGAAUUAUGUCCUUAAUGCACCGCUAGGUGACGGACCUAUUGCAGGAGCAUAAGCAGACGUUAUGAACGUUUGGCAAAACUCGGUAUGAUGACUACUUGAUAGUUUAGUGCACCAUGCUUUAUGGCUUAGAACCGGGACUUCAAAAAUGUUUUGAAACGUCACGGAGCAUAUGAGAUGUUCCAAGAGACGAAAUUAGUAUUUCAGACUCAUGCCCAUGUCAAGAGGUAUGAGACCUCUGACAAGUACUUUGCCUAAAAGAUGGAGGAGAAUUCCUCAACUAGUGAGCAUAUGCUCAGAAUGUCUGGGUACUACAAUCACUUGAAUCAAGUGGGAGUUAAUCUUCCAGAUAAGAUAGUGAUUGACAGAGUUCUCUAGUCACCAUCACCAAGUUACUAGAACUUCGUGAUGAACUAUAAUAUGCAAGGGAUAACAGAAACAAGUCCCAAGCUCUUCGUGAUAAUGAAAUCGGCGAAGGUAGAAAUCAAGAAGGAGCAUCAAGUGUUGAUGGUCAAAAAGACCACUAGUUUCAAGAAAAAGGGCAAAGGGAAGAAGAAGGGGAACUUCAAAAAGAACGGCAAGCAAGUUGCUGCUCAGGAGAAGAAACCAAAGUCUGGACCUAAGCCUGAAACUGAGUGCUUCUACUGCAAAGGGACUGGUCACUGAAAGCGGAACUGCCCCAAGUAUUUGGCGGAUAAGAAGGAUGGCAAAGUGAGCAAAAGUAUAUUUGACAUACAUGUUAUUUAUGUGUAAUUUACUAGUGUUUAUAGCAACCCCUCGGUAAUUGAUACUAGUUCAGUUGCUAAGAGUAGUAACUCGAAACGGGAGUUGCAGAAUGAACAGAAACUAGUUAAGGGCGAGGUGAUGAUGUGUGUUGGAAGUAGUUCCAAGAUUGAUAUGAUCAUCAUCACACACUCCCUAUACUUUCGGGAUUAGUGUUGAACCUAAAUAAGUGUUAUUUUGUGUUUGCGUUGAGCAUAAAUAUGAUUUGAUCAUGUUUAUUGCAAUACGGUUAUUCAUUUAAGUUAGAGAAUAAUUGUUGUUUUGUUUACAUGAAUAAAACCUUCUAUGGUCAUACACCCAAUGAAAAUGGUUUGUUGGAUCUCGAUCGUAGUGAUACACAUAUCCAUAAUAUUGAAGCCAAAAGAUGCAAAGUUAAUAAUGAUAGUGCAACUUAUUUGUGGCACUACCGUUUUGGUCAUAUUGGUGUAAAGCGCAUGAAGAAACUCCAUACUGAUGGGCUUUUGGAAUCACUUGAUUAUGAAUCACUUGAUGCUUGCGAACCAUGCCUCAUGGGCAAGAUGACUAAAACUCCGUUCUCCGGAACAAUGGAGUGAGUAACAGAUUUGUUGGAAAUCAUACAUACUGAUGUAUGUGGUCCAAUGAAUGUUGAGGCUCGCGGCGGGUAUCGUUAUUUUUCCGCCUUCACAGAUGAUUUGAGCAGAUAUGGGUAUAUCUACUUGAUGAAACACAAGUCUGAAAUAGUUGAAAAGUUCAAAGAAUUUCAGAGUGAAGUGGAGAAUCAUCGUAACAAGAAAAUAAAGUUUCUACGAUCUGAUCGCAGAGACGAAUAUUUGAGUUACGAGUUUGGCCUUCAAUUAAAACAAUGUGGAAUAGUUCCACAAACUCAUGCCACCUGGAACACCACAUAAUGGUGUGUCCGAACGUCAUAACCGUACUUUAUUGGAUAUAGUGCGAUCUAUGAUGUCUCUUACCGAUUUACUGUUAUUGUUUUGGGGUUAUACAUUAGAGACUGCUGCAUUCACGUUAAAUAGGGCACCAUCUAAAUCCGUUGAGAUGACGCCUUAUGAACUAUGGUUUGGCAAGAAACCAAAGUUGUCGUUUCUUAAAGUUUGGGGCUGCGAUGCUUAUGUGAAAAACUUCAACCUGAUAAGCUCGAACCCAAAUCGGAGAAAUGUGUCUUCAUAGGAUACCCAAAAGAGACUGUUGGGUACACCUUCUAUCACAGAUCCGAAGGCAAGACUUUUGUUGCUAAAUUUGGCUCCUUUCUAGAAAAGGAGUUUCUCUCGAAAAAAGUCAGUGGGAGGAAAGUAGAACUUGAUGAGGUAACUGUACCUACUCCCCUAUUGGAAAGUAGUUCAUCACAGAAACCGGUUUCUGUGACAUCUACACCAAUUAGUGAGGAAGCUAAUGAUGAUGAUCAUGAAACUUCAGAUCAAGUUGCUACUAAAUGUCGUAGGUCAACCAGAGUAAGAUCCGCACCAGAGUGGUACGGUAAUCCUGUUCUGGAAGUCAUGUUACUAGACCAUGACGAACCUAUGAACUAUGAGGAAGCGAUGAUGAGCCCAGAUUCCGCAAAAUAGCUUGAGGCCAUGAAAUCUGAGAUGGGAUCCAUGUAUGAGAACAAAGUGUGGACUUUGGUUGACUUGCCCGAUAAUCGGCAAGCCAUCGAGAAUAAAUGGAUCUUCAAGAAGAAGACAGACGCUGACGGUAAUGGAUCUCCAAAGGCCGCUAACACUGUGUGUAAGCUCCAGCGAUCCAUUUAUGGACUGGUGCAAGCAUCUCGGAGUUGGAAUAAACGUUUUGAUAGUGUGAUCAAAGCAUACGGUUUUAUACAUACUUUUGGAGAAGCCUGUAUUUAUAAGAAAGUGAGUGGGAGCUCUGUAGCAUUUCUGAUAUUAUAUCUGGAUGACAUAUUGUUGAUUGGAAAUGAUAUAGAAUUUCUGGAUAGCAUAAAGGGAUAUUUGAACAAGAGUGUUUUCAAUGAAGGACCUCGGUGAAGCUGCUUAUAUAUUGGGCAUUAAGAUCUAUAGAGAUAGAUCAAGACGCUUAAUUGGACUUUCACAAAGUACAUACCUUGACAAAGUUUUGAAGAAGUUCAAAAUGGAUCAUGCAAACAAAGGGUUCUUGCCUGUGUUACAAGGUGUGAAGUUCAGUAAGACUCAAUGCCCGACCACUGCAAAAGAUAGAGAGAAGAUGAAAGAUGUUCCCUAUGCUUCAGCCAUAGGCUCUAUCAUGUAUGCAAUGCUGUGUACCAGACCUGAUGUGUGCCUUGCUAUUAGUUUAGCAGGGAGGUACCAAAGUAAUCCAGGAGUGGAUCACUGGACAGCGGUCAAGAACAUCCUGAAAUACCUGAAAAGGCCUAAGAAUAUGUUUCUCGUUUAUGGAGGUGACAAAGAGCUCAUCAUAAAUGGUUACGUUAAUGCAAGCUUUGACACUGAUCCGGACGAUUCUAAAAUCGCAAACCGGAUACGUGUUUAUAUUGAACGGUGGAGCUGUCAGUUGGAACAGUUCUAAACAAAGCGUCGUGGCGGGAUCUAUGUGUGAAGCGGAGUACAUAGAUGCUUCAGAAGCAGUGAAUGAACGAGUCUGGAUGAAGGAGUUCAUAUCCGAUCUAGGUGUCAUACCUGGUGCAUCGGGUCCAAUGAAAAUCUUUUGUGACAAUACUGGUGCAAUUGCCUUAGCAAAGGAAUCCAGAUUUCACAAGAGAACCAAGCACAUCAAGAGACGCUUCAACUCCAUCCGGGGUCAAGUCCAGGUGGGAGACAUAGAGAUUUGCAAGAUACAUACGGAUCUGAAUGUUGCAGAUCCGUUGACUAAGCCUCUUCCCCGAGCAAAAUAUGAUCAGCACCAAGACUCCAUGGGUGUUAGAAUCAUUACUUUGUAAACUAGAUUACUGACUCUAGUAAACCCUUUGAGUGUUGGUCACAUAGCGAUAUGAACUAUUGGUGUUAAUCACAUAGUGAUGUGAACUAUUGUUGUUAAAUCACAUGGCGAUGUGAGCUAGAUUAUUGACUCUAGUGCAAGUGGGAGACUGAAGGAAAUAUGCCCUAGAGGCAAUAAUAAAGUUAUUAUUUAUUUCCUUAUAUCAUGAUAAAUGUUUAUUAUUCAUGCUAGAAUUCUAUUAAAUGGAAACAUGAUACAUGUGUGAAUACAUAGACAAACAGAGUGUCACUAGUAUGCCUCUACUUGACUAGCUCGUUGAUCAAAGAUGGUUAUGUUUCCUAGCCAUAGACAUGAGUUGUCAUUUGAUUAACGGGAUCACAUCAUUAGGAGAAUGAUGUGAUUGACUUGACCCAUUCCGUUAGCUUAGCACUUGAUCGUUUAGUAUUCUGCUAUUGCUUUCUUCAUGACUUAUACAUGUUCCUAUGACUAUGAGAUUAUGCAACUCCCGUUUACCGGAGGAACACUUUGUGUGCUACCAAACGUCACAACGUAACUGGGUGAUUAUAAAGAUGCUCUACAGGUGUCUCCGAAGGUACUUGUUGGGUUGGCGUAUUUCGAGAUUAGGAUUUGUCACUCCGAUUGUCGGAGAGGUAUCUCUGGGCCCACUCAGUAAUGCACAUCACUAUAAGCCUUGCUAGCAUUGUAACUAAUGAGUUAGUUGCGGGAUGAUGUGUUACGGAACGAGUAAAGAGACUUGCCGGUAACGAGAUUGAACUAGGUAUUGAGAUACCGACGAUCGAAUCUCGGGCAAGUAACAUACCGAUGACAAAGGGAACAACGUAUGUUGUUAUGCGGUUUGACCGAUAAAGAUCUUCGUAGAAUAUGUAGGAGCCAAUAUGAGCAUCUAGGUUCCGCUAUUGGUUAUUGACCGGAGACGUGUCUCGGUCAUGUCUACAUAGUUCUCGAACCCGAAGGGUCCGCACGCUUAAAGUUCGGUGACGAUUUAUAUUAUGAGUUAUGUGUUUUGAUGUACCGAAGGUAGUUCGGAGUCCCGGAUGAGAUCGGGGACAUGACGAGGAGUCUCGAAAUGAUCGAGACGUAAAGAUCGAUAUAUUGGACGACUAUAUUCGGACAUCCGAAAGGUUUCGAAUGAUUCGGGUAUUUUUCGAAGUACCAGAGAGUUACGGGAAUUCGUCGGGGAGUAUAUGGGCCCUAUUGGGCUUUAGGGAAAAGAGAGAGGGGAGGCUGCGCCCCCCCCCCCCCAAGGCCUAGUCCAAAUUGGACUAGGGGGAGGGGCUGCGCCCCGUCCUUCCUUCUCUUCUCUUUUCCUUUUCCUAGACUCCUACUCCUACUACUUGGAAGAGGGGGAAUCCUACUCCCGGUGGGAGUAGGACUCCUCCUGGGCGCGCCAUAGGAGGGCCGGCCCUUCCCCCUCCUCCACUGCUUUAUAUACGGGGGCAGGGGGCACCUCUAGACACACAGGUUGAUCUGUUGAUCUAUUCCAGCCGUGUGCGGUGCCCCCCUCCAUCAUAUUCCACCUCGGUCAUAUCAUAGUGGUGCUUAGGUGAAGCCCUGCGUUGGUAACAACAUCAUCACUGUCAUCAGCCGUCGUGCUGACGGAACUCUCCCGCAAAGCUCUGCUGGAUCGGAGUUCGUGGGACGUCAUCGAGCUGAACGUGUGCUGAACUCGGAGGUGCCGUGCGUUCGGUACUUGGAUCGGUCGGAUCGUGAAGACGUACGACUACAUCAACCGCGUUGUCAUAACGCUUCCGCUUUCGGUCUACGAGGGUACGUGGACACACUCUCCCCUCCCGUUGCUAUGCAUCACCAUGAUCCUGUGUGUAGGAAAUUUUUUGAAAUUACUACGUUCCCCAACACUAUCAUCCUCCGGACCAAGUGCAUCGAGGCAGUCCAUCGCUCACCAACUAGCGCAUGUCAGAACUGAAUAUUCAAGGGAGUCGUUUUUAAUACUGUGCCUACGUAAUCCUCCUUACAUUGCACGAUGUUAUAAAGGGUGGGAUGUUGUACGCCUAGGGGCGUCUCUCCUAACCACGUAUCCUUCUAAAAUCUUGUUGACAUCCCAUUGCCAACCAAGAAUUUGACCCUACGAAAGAACAAGUCCUACGUUCUCAUGAGUCCCUUCCAGAAUGGCGAGUCAGUUGGUCUCACGGUAACCUGGGCGAGCGUUUUUGACUGUAAAUACUUAUUGCGUAGAAUCUGUGCCCACAUACCUUCCGGCUCUGCCUCUAACUUGUAGAGCCAUUUACUCAUAAGACAUUUAUUCUUAAUUUCCAGGUUCUCAAUACCGAGACCCCCCUGGUCCUUGGGUCGGCAAAGAAUAUCCCAUCGGGCGAGACGGUAUUUCCUCUUGGCCUCAUCAGACUGCCAGAAGAAUUGAGAUCUAAAUAAAUAAAGUCUCUUCCGCACCCCUUUCGGUAUCUCGAAGAACGAUAGCAGGAACAUCCGCAUACUAGUACGUACCGAGUUAAUCAGCACUAGCCGACGUCCAUACGACAUAAGCUUGCUCUUCCAACUACUAAGCUUUUUUUCAAUUCGAUCUUCGUUGCACUUCCAUUCUAUAUUAGAUAACUUACGGUGAUGAAUCGGUAUGCCCAAAUAACUGAAUGGCAAAGAACCUAAUUCACACCCGAAUAGUUGUCUAUACAUGUCUUGCUCUUCUUUGGCCUUUCCAAAGCAGAACAACUCGCUCUUGAUAAAAUUUAUCUUUAAUCCAGACAAUUGUUCGAAGAGACAUAAUAUGACUUUCAUAUUUCGCGCUUUUGCAAUGUCAUGUUCCAUGAAUAGGAUAGUGUCGUCAGCGUACUAUAAAAUGGAGACUCCCCCAUCGACCAGAUGAGGGACUAACCCCUCCACAUGACCGUUUUGCUUGGCCCUACAAAUAAGAAUGGUCACCAUAUCGGCCAUUAUAUUAAAUAGGAGAGGAGACAUGGAAUCCCCUUGUCUCAAUCCCUUGUGUGUAUGAAAGUAAUGACCAAUAUCAUCGUUAACCUUGAUUCCGACACUACCCUUCUAGACUUGAGAACCCACUUGGUUCUGCCAGGCCUCACUAAAUCCUUUCAUGUGCAUUGCCUGCUGAAGGAAAGGCGAUUUAACUUUAUCAUAUGCCUUCUCAAAAUUCACUUGGAAGAUAACCCCUCCAUCUAGCUUCUUCGAAUGAAUUUCAUGCAGGGUUUCAUGUAGAACGACCACCCCUUCAAGUAUGUGUCGCCCCGGCAUGAAAGCUGUCUGGCUCGGUGGUACCACUGAAUGAGCAAUUUGUGUCAAUCUAUUGGUACCCACUUUCGUGAAUAUUUUGAAACUCACAUUAAGAAGACAUAUUGGCCUGAAUUGUUCGAUCCGAACUGCCUCUUCUUUCUUUGGCAACAGUGUAAUCAUACUAAAGUUAAGAUGAAACAGUUCUAAAUGACCGUUAAAAAUCAUGAAACAUAGGCAUAAGAUCAUCUUUAAUAAUAUGCCAACAUUUCCUAUAGAAUUCAGCUGGAAACCCAUCUGGUCCCGGUGCUUUAUUCAGUUUCAUUUGUGAGAUUGCAUCCAAAACCUCUUUGUCAGUAAAUGGUGCAGAUAGAAUAUCAUUCUCCUCUACUCGAAGCUGAGGGAUAUCUCCAAUAAAAUAUUCAUUAAGGGACACCGUGCUUGCUUCCGGAGGCCCAAAAAGUUCUUUGUAAUAAUUAGAGAUAUAAGCUUUCAGAUUCUCACGCCCUGCAAUUGUCCCGUUGUCCUGUUCAAGCUGUAUUAUUUUCUUCUUCCUAUGUUUACCAUUCGUGAUCAUAUGAAAGAAUUGUGUAUUGUCAUCCCCUUGGACAACCUUAAGCACUUUAGCCCGCAAUGCCCACUUGAGCUCCUCUUCUCUAAGAAGGGCUCGUAAGCCUUGAUGGGUUUCGGACUUGGAGCUCUGCUCAUCAGCCGUAGGAAGGUUAACUUCAGCUUUUAAAUCUAGCGCAUCUAUUAAUUGGGUGAGUCGCUCUUUUUCUUGUAUGUAUAUGCCACUCUCGUUUCUGGCCCAAUCUCGCAAAACUGUCUCAGUUGUCUAAUUUUAUUUUGCCGUCUCUCAAUAAUUGUUCGUCCACUAACAGGGUUUGCCCAUUCGCGUGCAAUGAUCUCCAAGAAGUUUUCUUUCUCGAAUCAACCUAGUUCGAACGAGAAAGCAUUCUUGUUUGCAAUAUGUGUAGCCUAUCCCGAGUCUACUAGUAAUGGUGUGUGGUCUGAGAUCGCCCUCUGCAUCGCAUGUACCGGCACUAAUGGGUAUUUUUGUUCCCAAUCCACACUAGCGAGCACCCUAUCCAACUUCUCAUAAGUUGGAGUGGGCAACGAAUUGGCCCAUGUAAAUUGUCUACCGGUGAGCUCAAUUUCUCUCAAACUAAGACUCUCAAUAAUCAUGUUAAACAUCAUAGACCAGCGUCCAUCAAAAUUGUCAUUGUUCUUUUCAUCUCUCCUCCGAAUUAUGUUAAAAUCCCCUCUGACUAGGAUUGGAACAGUCUCGUCUCCACAGAUCCGCACCAAGUCGGCUAAAAAAUCUGGUUUGAGUUUGGGUUGUGCUUCCCCAUAUACAGCAAUGAGAGACCAUCGGAAGCCAUCCAAUUUCGAUCUCACCCGAAACUUGACAGCAGAAUCCCCCCGAACCACGUUAAGCACCUCAAGCGUUUCGCACCGAACUCCUAGUAAUAUCCCACCAGAUCUUCCUCUAGGAGGUAAAACGUGGCAAUCAAAAUCAAUUCCUCCGGAUAAAGUUCCAAGGAACUGUGAGGUGAAAUUAUCCCGUCCUGUUUCGAGUAGAGCAACGAAAUCUAAUUUUUUUCUCAAUCGUUGUCUCUGCCAAGAACUUUCGUUUAGCCAAGUCAGCUAGACCUUUGCUAUUCCAAAAUAUCCCUUUCAUAAGUCAUCAUUGAAUUUUUUUUCUUAGCCUUAACCCUAGCACUUCUAUGAACUGCCGAAGUAGGAUAAAUUUUCUGUUUCCAGGGUCUCCUGGGCUUCUCCCCAUCGCCCUUCGGGAACGUAGGAUCGACAGAACACGAGACAGUGCCCUCCAUCAUUGGAGGCUCUACAGUGUCCCCAGUCUCCAACCCCUCCUCAUCUUCGGCCUCCACAUUAGGCAAGAGAUUAUCACAUAUGUUUUCAAGAGCAGCCAUUCCUGAAUUUUUUAUGUCACUGUCAUUCAUAGGUUUGAUUGAUGCGAGAUUCCGAAUUGUUUCAGAAGCCCUCUCCGCUUCUAAAUCUAAAAGAUCAUUUACAGAUUUCGCAACCUCCUUCUCAUUCAAACCCAAAGAUAUACCUAAGUCGUUUGCCUUAUCAAUAAUUUCAUGCUCGAUGAAAUGCAGAAUUGAACAACUCUUAUCAAAAGACAUACCUUUAGUUGCCUCGACAUCUCGAAGCUUGGCCGCCCUCAUGGCGCGCGCUAGCUGCAGGUCAUCAGCAUCUAGUUGUCCCUGGAUCCGGUUGCUGACACGCCUACCAGCUGUUACCGGAUCCGGGAUCCCACCGAAAGCGAUAAGCUCCUCUGUAGUCAUCUCCCGAGGCGUGUGGUCCCCGCUCCCACGCCCUUGCCUUGUUGCUGGUGAAGAAGGGUAAGGCGCGGUCGAGCGGGAAACGCCAACCGAAGUAAUGGGAGAAGGAGACCAUGGAGCCACCUGCUCGAGAGUCCCACUCCCCCCCCAAACCGUCAACGCGGCGUGGAGUCGAAACGGGAGAAGGGGAGUUGUUGGCCUCCUGCCCAUACCCCUGUCUGUGCCGCCCGGAGCUACCCCGUGGUGAGAGGGCGCCGCGGGCUUCCUGCCCGCGCACCUCCCCAAGGUGGCCAGGGACCGCCGCGGGUGGGCUGGUGGUGCGAGCCUCCUGCCCACNNNNNNNNNNNNNNNNNNNNNNNNNNNNNNNNNNNNNNNNNNNNNNNNNNNNNNNNNNNNNNNNNNNNNNNNNNNNNNNNNNNNNNNNNNNNNNNNNNNNNNNNNNNNNNNNNNNNNNNNNNNNNNNNNNNNNNNNNNNNNNNNNNNNNNNNNNNNNNNNNNNNNNNNNNNNNNNNNNNNNNNNNNNNNNNNNNNNNNNNNNNNNNNNNNNNNNNNNNNNNNNNNNNNNNNNNNNNNNNNNNNNNNNNNNNNNNNNNNNNNNNNNNNNNNNNNNNNNNNNNNNNNNNNNNNNNNNNNNNNNNNNNNNNNNNNNNNNNNNNNNNNNNNNNNNNNNNNNNNNNNNNNNGGAAUCAGCCCUCUGAGAUGAAAGUACCUUUGUCGACACAACAUCAGGCAGCAUCACUGGCGGUAGCUCGAUCUCCCAUGGAUCGUCCGCUUCAACUCAGUUACUCCAUAACCGGCUAGGCGCAGACCGCGCUCCAAAAGAGCCAAACCGAAGUGUAUUCAUCGGUUUCAUGGAAGACGACGCCUCCUUGGCAGACUUAUCCGCCUUGUCCGACUGCGACUUCGGCCCCUCAGCCGACUCUCGUGGUGUGCUCUCAGGCCCCUUGUCUUGAUUCCCGGGGGCUCCAUCUCCCUCAGGCGUAUCCAUAUCCUGAUGCUCAUCCCCCUCCUGAGGUAUCGGUGUAUCCUCAAUCUCAAUCUCAAGCACGUAAGUGACCCCGGCAUGCGUCCACUUGACCACAUCCGGCACGAACUCAAGACUGGUCACACUGACAAGUAACCUCGCAGCUCCGUGUGCACGAGUGAAAGGCAUGUCUACCUGUUCCGUCUUACCAAUGGGCGAUCCCAAGCUUCUGGCUACCAAGAAGUGCUUAAUCAGUUUGGGUGGUGCAUCAUAGAACCGUACCCAGACCUUCUCUAAAGGUGUACCCUCGGGCUCCUUCUGCUUCCACUCAUCAAAAGCCAUGAUAAUUUUCGUACUCGGUACUCUGCACAUGCCAAACUUAAGGAUAUGGAACUGAUCCUCUUUAGUGGGAAAAUCGACCUUGAAAGUUUGGUUCUCCAACUUGACAAGGUCCCAUUGAUGGUUGCCUGGUACCAACUCCCGCAACUGCCGCACAAUCUGUGCCUCUGUCAUGAUCCCAUUAGUAACCUUGACAACUGCAGGAAAGGAGCUCUCCAUCACAUGCGCCAUAGGUGCCACAUCAGGUGACUCAAAAAACAAUAACUCCUGACAGCAAACCCCGCAAAUAUUGACCACCAGCUUGGGGCCUGAAAUAAGCGGGCACUCACUGGACACAUGCUGCGAUCUACAACAGUAAUUACAUAGCUCUGUGGUACAUUCUGCCACAAAAUGUCCCGGCUCGCCACAUCUGUAACACGGUAACUUCUUCUUCUUAAGAGUCCACUUGGAUAACUUUUCACCAUCAGGUUUGUCCGAUCCCUUGUCAGAACCUCCGUCACCGGCCUUAGCAGCUCCAGUGUUCAUCACCGGAAUGCUAACCGCUGCCAAAGCCUAGACCUUGUCUACAACCACCUCGGGAAGAGCAGGUGAGGCCAUCUCCACCGUAGUAACUAGCUCGGCUUGGGCCACAACACCCACAACAACAGGCGGUGGUGGAGGUCACGGUGGAGGCAGGCGCCGACCCCUCCUCUCCCACCACGGAAACCACAAUGACUUCCCCGGUUAUAUGGUUAUUAGGGCCGGCCACCCCCUCGACGAAGUUGUCGGGAGGUCCUUCAAAACCGCGUCUGGUUCCUCCGCCAUUGUACCACGCGUAUCCGCCCCCACCUCCAGUGGAGGAUGAACCGCGGUGCUGUCCUUCGCCAUACGCAUCAUAUCCAUCGUCACCCCACUGUCCACGGGGCGGGUAACCAUAGCCGUCAGCGCCGGAGUACUCACAGCCACCGCCAUAUUGGCCAUCGCGGCCCCGGCCAAAGUACUGGCGCCCCGCAGCCGGUGCAGCAGUCGGCAGCCGCGCGUCCCGCGCUGCCUUUUGGUGCCUUGAAGCUCCCCAUCCCAAGGGGUGGAAUCGCCGAGAUCCGCCUCCUGCGGCGGCGCGGGAAGAGACGGCUUCGAGGAGGGACCCUACAGCGACGGCAGCACACCUGCCGAAGAAGACGGCGGCGGCAGCAGGGCAUCCGGCGGGUGCGGGCUGUCAGGUGGCAGCAUCGCCUAGCAAGUGGGAGACUCUUAUUUCUUCUUCAAGUAAUAAUGGAAAGGCCUUUCAGAGAUUACAAGAUGCACAGAGAGGGCCACGCAGUUACACAGAGAUUACAAGAUACAUAGAGCUGCCAGGUGGGGCAUCAGCGAGCAGCGUCGCUAGAACGAUCUGAAUAACUUGCACCACAUUUGUUCUAAAGUUCCUGUUUUUUUUUUUACUACCAAACCUGCAGCUUUGCGCCUAACUUUGAAAAGGUUCCAUAUGACGAUGCAAUCCAAAUUUGCCUUUUUGAUCGACUACUCUCAGAUGUAGUAGAUUAUACCAAUGACAACAGCUGCAGAUUUAUAUCCCACAAAAAACAUGUUGGUUACUGAAGCUAAGUCGUAAGCACUUUUCACGGUGAAGAUCCAGGCUUUUCCUUGUUUCCACAUUAUUACCCGAGUUGAAUGAUCUGCAUUUCUCAGGCAUCGCUUGUUUCAUACAGGUCCACGACUCCACAUCACCAUUGUUGGUUUGGAGAGGGAGGAAAGGAAGAAGCGGGAAGGGCUCCUUUGUUCUAGUGGAGCUAUGUCCGACUAGUUAGGGGUCAUCCUGAGAUGAAAUCAAAAUGUCAAAGGAGAAAUCCGAUGACUGUGUAUGGGUGGCUCCAUGAAAUUUUCCUUCUUCUCUCGGUGCGUUGAGUCAGUGUUGUCGCCGCAAUGCCGGUUAGUUGUGAAAAGGGUGGGCGCUUGUAACCUUGGUCUGACAAAAAAUUUCUUACUAAUAUGUUCGUUCACUCAAAUGAAAUGUCCCAACAACCGCUAAAGAUUGUUUAGAUAGAUAGAGAAUACAUGAAACAUGUUGAUGUAUUUAAAGAGAAACAAUCACAUCUCUAGUUCAAAAUGUUCUCUAGCCCACCGUGGUAAAUUGUAUAAUUGUCUAUGCAAACCAUAAAAAUUGAUAUCUAAACAAAAAAUUUAAGUGAAGAAACCGCGGUUUAGCAAAUGAAAAAUUACAAAAUAAAUUAAGUGGUUGAAAACAUAAGAUUUGUUUUAAAGGGAGAGACACGGUGAGUGGGCCCUAAGUCCACCUUAACGACUUGUCAAAAGAGUCUUUAAAAUUUUAUGCCACAUCAGCUUGAUAGCCGCCACCCACGGAUCAAUUUCAGCAUCAAAUGCUAGUUAUCGGCCUAUCCCUGCAAUUUGAAAAUUCACUGCUGGAUGCCAAUUCUGUUCUCCGAAUAAGUGAAUGCCGGUGGUUUUUUGAAACCUAACCCCAAUUAUGGUGGUUACUUGCAAUCUACUCCUAGAGCUUAAAGCACACUUUUUGGGCAGUAAGUUGGAUAUAUGCAUUAUAAUAGUGACACUGAUCAGAUUAGUAGUUCUGGAAAACAAAUAGAUGUGCAGAUGCCAUGCCAAAUCAUGCAAGUUAGUAAACAUUUUUUUUAAACGAGUGGCUGUGUGCAUCACACUGGUGCAGAGGCCUGGAGUUAACCUCCUUUUCGGGGGGAAAUCCAUGUUAGUUAAUAGUUACAAUCAGGUUAAGUAACUGGAGAAACUGGAAGAUGCCCCGCGCGUUGCUGCGGGACCAUUUUCUACAACUAUAUUGUCAUAUAAAGAAACAGGAAAAAAAGAUAUAAUGUAAAGUCAAUGACCUAUGUAAUCUAGCAUGAUGUUCACAAAGAUUAAAUGAUGCCUUAGAAUUGUCGAUAAAUAGAAUAUUGGUGAUAAGAACACAAUACAUAUGCGAAAUGAACUCCACAACCAAUGACUAAAUCGGCGGGCACCUGCAAAUGAGCCACUAAAUAUAGGUCUCUCUAAAUUCCUGAAGCCAAUCUUUUGAAUGACACAAGUGAAGCACUGAAAUUAGUACUGGUCUCAAUAUCUGGAUGAAAAAAGUGAUAUCAAUGGCAUGGUUUCCUGACCGUUCCUACUCGCGAUGUUUAGGUCCACCAAAACUAAAGGAUCGCAAAAAUUAGGGUGCGUCUACUCAGUAAUAAUGAUCUAAGUGACAUUAUCAAGAUCUGCUAAAAGAACAUGAUGUGGAAGCCUGGACGUGUAACAGAGGACAGAAGAUGUCCUUGGCAACUCGCAUGGCUCCAGUAAAUUGCUGCUCCAAAUCGGCCAAUCUUAGUGGCGCGUGUUGUGUAGAAUGAUGGAGAUGCCGCAGCAAUGUAUGUGCAGCAAGCGGAUGGGUCUGUCACCAUUUCUCUGAUGAUCUGUACGCGAUACCAGUAUGUCCACCCUGUGUAGAAGACAGAAAAAUGAAAUUGUGAAAACAAAAUAGUUGCCUCACAUAUAUGCCUACCUAAAUUCAUCCAAGCCUAUCUUUUUGAAUGAGUGACAAUUAUGACUUACUUGAAUAGAAGGGAUAAUGAGAUUUCGUCCUGGGUUGUUGUAGAUGAUUUGUUCCAACCAAUGCAUUGCAUGCAAUGAAGGGAAUCAUAUGCAUAACGUACUGAAACAAAUAUAAGAUGCAUGUCAUGUGUUCAUCCAGUUCACAUAAUAAAUUUUAUAGAUGGGAUGAUUAUGUACUAACUCGAGCGGUAGGAAACCUAUGCAGGAAGAAAGCACAAAUAACCAUCGCCAUCUGCAACAAAUCAUCGAUCAACUUGUGGACAAAUCUGACAAAAUAAGAAAUCAGAUAAAAGAUUGGAUUAGACGAAGCAAAGAGGGCUAGAGAGGGACCCAAUCACUCAGCGCGUACAUGUUGGGAAGAGUAAUCAAAGAUCUGAGUCCAGUUGUGGUGGAAGAUGAUUCUCUUCUUUCAGAAAGGAUAAGCGAGCGGUUCAGUUAGCUCCUCCGCAUUUGUGUCAUUGUGUGGUGCCGCCGUUCGUUUCUGGCACAUUUGCAGGAAAGGAGAUUGUGGGGAAGAGGAGACGAUUAGGCAGAGUGAAGAGCCGAACAGGCACAGGCACGAGAGAAGACAGAAAUCCAACGUCGUGCCAUAGUGGGCAUUUAUUUUUUUUAAACAAAGUAGAGACGCAAGCGCUCAUACACACGCGCAUACACUCACCCCUAUGAACGUACACACGCACAUCCUACCCCUAUGAGCACCUCCGAAAGACUAAGCCGGCAUAUCAUCUUGAAAUUUACGAAGUCACCACAGGCACCUCGUCGUCGACGGGAACGUCUCCUCCCACUGAAUGCGCAUCGCGGAAAAUCCUGAAAUAAAUCCAGAAAUAAAUGCUUGAACCCUAGUGGACUGGGGAUACCGCGGUCCUCUAACCAUCCAACCACAGGUUGGUUCGCUAGUGGGCAUUUAUUCUGGCAUGUAUUCGUAGAUGGGCCAAUAAGCUGGCCUACUACGAGUUUGUAUAUGCAGCAGACCAUGAGGCAUAUGGUGGCCUGGGGUUGCGGCGAGGUGGUGGCAGUGGAGGAGGAGCAUCGAUUCCUAUGUGCAUUGUUGGCAGUUGUGCGGCCGGCUAGCCGGCGCGGCCGGCCAGGGGAGAUAGGCGACCCUGUGUGGACGAACAAAGAGGUUGUGAACGAAGACGCAUUUGUUCCUCUUCCUAUUCCGUAACUGACUAGAGAAAUAAGAGGCCAGUCCUUGGCUCCCCACUUCUCAUAUGAAGUGGGCAAUAAGUAAUGAUCCAUGGUAUGGGAGUAUGACUAUUCAUAUUCACAUUGACUACACAAACCAAACUUUAUUAUCAGAUCCACACUGAAAAGAUAUGAUCCCAAACACACAACCAAACAUAUAUCAUAACUAUAACAAACAAAUGGACAUGGAUUUUUGGAUUAAUAGAAUAUCCUAGGCUAAAAAUCCACUGAUUACUUGAAAAGGAAAACAUUGACAAGCUUGUAUAGUUCCUUUCAUAGCUACCCGUAUAUGGGUAGCUACAGCCCAACCUAGUUUUUGAACAUAUUAUUGGAUGGUGGCGCCAGAUGUAGUGUCCUGCAAAAAAAAGGUAUAAUCAACAUCACUACAUACCAAGAAACCAGUCAUUAAGGUAUUGAUGGAAAUUUGUCAGGAAAAUGUAACAAUCAUAAUGCCAGAUGACUAAAACUAGCUUUGAAAUUUAUAGGCUUAUUUGUUAAAUAACCUUAACUACGUCCAAUUGUCAAUACCAUGACGUUUAAAUUUCUUUCAGCUGGACAAGAUAUACAUGCUAGAAUCAAGAAGAAAAAUAUAUACAGACUAAGUAGCUGAAUGUAUGUACUUACAGAAGGUUUGGCGUAGAAUGCAUGGAUAUUAAGUUCUUUAAUAGUUUGAAAUGUAGGGGGGUUGGCGGGCGUGUUAUACUUGAUGACCCCACGUGCCACAGCAAACUCCCCAGUCCCACCCAUAAUGGCCAUCUGGCCUUGGCCUGUUUGAAAAUUGAUCCCCAUCGCUUCGAAUGAUGAUCCAUUGUACAUGAUAUAGUUUUGUACGGCAAUAUCAUACUCCCUCCGUCCGAAAAUACUUGUCAUCAAAAUGGAUAAAAAGGGAUGUAUCUAGAAUUAAUAUACAUCUAGAUACAUCCUCUUUUAUUCAUUUUGAUGACAAGUAUUUUCGGACGGAGGGAGUAUAUCAUAUGAAAUUGGAAAAUAUUUAGUAUCUGAGACCUUUGUAACUAAGCAUAUAUGCUAUGUAACCAGGAAAACUAAAAACUUAUACUAGUCCAAAAGUAUAUAAAAAUAACCUAGAGUUCUUCUCGAACACCAUGCUGAAGUAGUUGAACCAGCCUGGACCGGCUAUGUCAGCUUGCACUUGCAUGCCUUUGGUACGGGCAACAAUGGUGGCAGUAGCGGGGUUUUGUCCAUCAAUUACAGUCCAGUCGGUAACGGAAGUUAGACCAAAAACAGAUCGUUUGCUGGAGGUAACAAUUACUACCUGGUUGGUGCCCGGCCCAGAGGCGAUUUGGUGCAAUUACAAGUGCAAGUUAACCUCGGACUCACGCUGAAGAACACAGGAAAGGGAUGCAGUUGCCAUGGAUAGAAUGAAAUGCAGGAUUAGGACCAUGGACAGGACUACAAGGCUAGGGCUGGCCAUGCCUAGCUAGGGUUUUGGCUGGCAGAAGAUGGAGUAAUUGACAAAAAACUACCACAUUUCACGUAAGCGUCCCACAGAACUACCUUUUUUGAAAACUGACCAAAAACUCCAGUUUAUUGCUGAUUUCGUGAUAAAAAACUACCACAUCGCGUUGAUGACCGUUUCAAGCGUUUUAAACGUCUUUCUGACAAAUCGGGCCCACCUUUCAGGACGAAGGCCGCGCUAACGGCUAACGGCGCUCGCCUGGCGCCCGUUAGCCGUGCGCGUCGGUCGGCCCGGUCGGACCAGGACUAACCUGGCCGACCGGCUGGCUCGUCGUCCCCCACCACCUCACUCUCCCCCCACCCNNNNNNNNNNNNNNNNNNNNNNNNNNNNNNNNNNNNNNNNNNNNNNNNNNNNNNNNNNNNNNNNNNNNNNNNNNNNNNNNNNNNNNNNNNNNNNNNNNNNNNNNNNNNNNNNNNNNNNNNNNNNNNNNNNNNNNNNNNNNNNNNNNNNNNNNNNNNNNNNNNNNNNNNNNNNNNNNNNNNNNNNNNNNNNNNNNNNNNNNNNNNNNNNNNNNNNNNNNNNNNNNNNNNNNNNNNNNNNNNNNNNNNNNNNNNNNNNNNNNNNNNNNNNNNNNNNNNNNNNNNNNNNNNNNNNNNNNNNNNNNNNNNNNNNNNNNNNNCACUCGCUCACUCACUCUGCUCCUCUGCUCUCCACUGCUCCUAUUCUUCUUCUCGCACUCCGGCGACGCCGCGACCAUGCCGUCGUGGCCCAACAGCAACGAGACCUCUGACGAUGACGAGUACAUGAGCGAGUUCAGUAGCAUGCAGAUGGAGUAUUUUGUAAGUCAGCUCAAUCUCUCCUCUCCUCUCCUCUGCUAUGGUUAGGGUUAGGGUUUGAAGAAGGAUAUGGAUUUCUCCAUUUAAGUUCAUGUAUGCGAGCUGUAGUUGAUAUAUAUGUGUUUCCUGGUGCAGCAAACUCCAGACACUGUGAUAGAUCCAAGCUUUUCUGGGCUUGUGACUGAAUCUGACCGUAGGUGCAUCCCGCACAGGGAGAGGGCUGGCAAAUUUGUGGCAUUUGAAGGCACUGACACUGGCAGGAGAUUCGUAGGAUGUGUAACUGAGGUAAUGAACCAAGUUGUCAUGGCUGUGAUUGAUUCAUUUUGUGCUUUUUUGAAUAAUGCUGCUGCUUUUCUCAUUUUUGCUUAAUUAUAAGAGCAGUGCUCUGUCUAAAUUAUGUACUUAUAGCAAAUAGCAGCAAAGAGCAAUGGAACCAAGAGCUAGUGUAGUGUAGCUACAUUUAUGAGUACUGUUUAUGAUUUGUUAUUGUGAAUAUGUUUGUUAAUGAAGAAUAAAGCUCACUUCAAAUUUAACUGAAUUUUCAGGAUGGUGUGAACUGUUGUGUUUUAGAGUGGGUAGAUGCCCCUUGGCCUGUAACUUUGCAAAGGUGCUUAACCAAGCUCUGGGAUAUGUAUCAUGAAGAGAACCUUGGUAGAGUCCAAGACAAAGAGGCUCAUGAGAUAGAGGUUGAGAAACUGAAGAAGGAGUUGGAUUCUCUUGGCAAUCAGUACAGUCAGCUUGUGGAUGAUGUAUCCAAGCUGUUUGAUUACCAGGAUGGGCAGAAAUCCCAUGACAUGGAUUACACAAGCCAGGCAAUCAAUGAACUUAAGGAGAAGAAGCAUCAGCUUGAGGAGAAGGCAAAGAUUGAGAUUCAAAUGGAGAAGCUUAAGCUCAAGAAAGAACAGAGGUGCAUCCUGCAGAGUCAAGCUGAUAUCAUUCAAAACACCAGGAAAGCCAUGAAGGAGAUACAAGUUGAGAGAGACCUCCUUAAAGAAGAGAAGAAGAAGCUGGAGCAUAUCAUUGUUGGGCUCUUGAAGGCAGGUCAUGGGUGCAAAGAAAAGCUAGACAAGAUCAAAGAAGUUUUCAUGGAGGAGUGAAGUGGUACCUAGGGUUGGUAAGUGAAUAUGAGGCAUAUAUAUAUAACUGGCCUAGUACUAGAAUCUGAUGCAGAUAUGCAUCUUAGUAUUAAUAUGAACUCCCUAUUAACUGCCUAUGGUUUCAGAUCAUUUUGGUUGUGUUGUUGGGUGAUGUAAUGCCCCUGAUCUGUAAUGCUCUAAGAUAAUCCUAUUUCUAAUGCCCCCUGAACCAUAUUAUCCAGAUGUUGUUAUAUCUACAUCUGCAAUUUGUUGCUGCUAGGUAGUUGUUG
rnacentral:lncRNA from 1 species